UAAGGGUUAUAGUCAACGUUGAUUCAUUAUUUUUAACGUCUCUAAUUCAAAGCCGAACAUGAAAUUUUGGUUUCAUUCGGCUCCUUUAUGGAAGAUGGAUAAAAAAAAAAAAAAAACUAAAGUGGGAAUGAAAUGAAAAAAGAAUUAAGCUCAAUAUCAAUGUUAGCUUUUCUUUCUAAAUAUAUUCAAAACAAUUCGCUUUUUAGAUGAUCCUUCUAGAAGAGUGGGAUUAGAACAAUUUUUCUAGUUACUUCGUUCUCUAUUUCUAUUUGAGAAAAUCCUUAGGAAAAGCAUUUUGUUUCCACCGAGCUAAAACAAGAUGUAAAUGUCUCUAGUAAACCAAUAAGAUGUUUUCUUUUGUCCUUUCCCAGCGAUAAAAAAAAGUUAAUAUAUUCAAGAUAAUUAUGUAUUUACAAUGUAUCUUCUCAAUUCAUCAUAUUUCAUCAAAUUUGAGAUGUGAUAUGGUUCCAAAAGAUGAACUAGGCAGUUCCAAUAAGAUUUCAUUCUUGAAUAAAAAUUCCUUUUUUGAUUUAUUUCAUCUAUUCCAUGACCAGAAUAAGGGGAUAUACAGUAUAUCACGAUUGUGAAUCAGAAGAGAGAUUUCAAGAAAUGACAGAUCUAUUCUUUCUAUUAGUAAACAAGCCGAAUUUGGUGUAUCAUGACUGAAAGUUAUGAUAAAAGGUUUUAGUCUUGGAAGAGAUGCAACCUUAUGAACAAUUCAUAGAAGUGGUAUACUAUUAAGUUUCAUACAAGAUGUAAACCCCUAAUGGCAAUAAACCCCUUAAAAAAAUGUGUGUAGAAAUAAAUACUAAAGAGAUUUUAAAAGAAAUAAAUGAUUCAAUGAUCUGAUCAAAUAAAAUAAUAUUAAUAUGAUUCAAAAGAAAGUAAAAGCCUUAACUCAGACAUUAUGUGAAAGUGUGUUGAAUCAUGAAUAGAUAGUAAGUGUCUUUAUUAUGGACACUUUAUUCUGUCUCCACUUAUGAAAAGCCAAGCCAACACAAUAGGUAUUGCGAUGUGAAUAGCUUUGCUAGGAGAAAUAGAAAGAACAUGCAUUAUACGUGCAAAAUCUAAGAAAGUACCACAUGAAUAUUCUACCAUAGUAGGUAUUCAAGAAUCAGUACAUGAAAUUUUAAUGAAUUUAAAAACAAUUGUAUUGAGAAAUAAUUUGUAUGGAACUCAUAACACUUUUAUUCAUGCCAAAGGUUCUAGUUGCAUAACUGCUUAAAACAUCAUCUUACCCCUUUUGUGAAAAUUAUUGAUAAUACACAACAUAUAAUUAACCUAAUCGAACUAAUUAAUUUUAAAUUAAAUAUAAAAAUUAAUUAAUAAAAUAGUGAAAAUUUUCACUAUUUUUUAGCAAUGAAAAUGAUUUUUUUCCUUAACUGCAAACCCUUUUGAAAAUUCUUUUGAUGUAUGGGUAUAAAUUACUAACUUAUGCUCAACCUUUUUCAAACUAAUAAUACAAAUAUAACUUUUGAAGACAAAUGACCAGUCAUAACUAAUUAGCCUAAAAUCUCUUAUUCCCACUCCAAUUACACCUUAAUUGGCAUUAGUAAAUGCCUAAUAUCACUCUUACAUUUAUAAAUAAGGUUAAUUUGUUUUUUUAAUUUUUAUAUAACUUUUUAAUUGAAUUGGUAUUAUUUUACUCAUAAAUUCAAAUUUACUCAUAAGCAUCAAACUCAAUUAAAAUUUUAAUAUAAUAAAUUUUAAUAAUUCAUAUAUAUAUAUUUUGUUUGUCAACUAUUAAACACCAACUUUAUAACAAUUUACUAAAACUUUAUUAAAAAAAAAAUACAUUUUUUGGUAAUCUCUUAAUCAAACAAGUCCAUAAUCAAACAUUAACAAAAGGACAAGAAAACAAGUCCAUAGUGAAAAGUUUUCUAUUUUAAGUCAUAAUGAAAAGCUGAAGACAGGACAAUACCAACAUCAAACUUGUUAUCAGAAAAAGGAAAGGAAAUUAGAGAAAAGUCAUUGUAGUAUUUAACUAUAAGGGGAUGUUUGGUUCACAUAAUCUUGGAUUUUGGAGAAAAGUGUGAUACUCGAAAAAGUGCAAUACCUAGAGUUUUCUUCCAUUUUCAGGGCAUCUUAUGUUCAGAUUCACUUGUUUUGUUGAAAAAAUUCACAUAUAUUAAUUCUUGAAUAAUUACCAUAAUCUUGUUAACAUAUAUGAUGGUAAUUUUUUAUUAGUUUUUAUUAAUAAUAAAUACCCAAAUGAUAAAUGAUACCUUUAACAGCAAAAAAAGAUAAAUAUUUUAUUUGAUUGCUAUUUUUAUUUAUAAAAUAUCAUUAAAAAAAAUAUUAGGGAUUAUUUAUAACGUUUCUAAUUGAAAAACGCCUUAAAUAAUCCAUUUUAUUACUUUAAAAGAGAUUAUUUAAGACAUUCUUUGUUCAAAAGUGCCUUAAAUAAAUGCUUUUUAAAAAAUAUGAAGGGAUUAUUUAAGGCGUUUUUGUCCAAAUAAUCUCUAAUAUUUUUUUAAAGGGGAUUAUUUAAAGUAUUUUUUGGUAAAAAAUGCUUUAAAUAAUACUUUUCAAUUUUUUAAAAGAUAUUAUUUAAGGCAUUUUUUUACCAAAAACGUCUUAAAUAAAAUCUUCACUUUUUUUAACUAUAUUAUUUAAGGUGUUUUUUUACUAAAAACACUUUAAAUAAUCCCUUUAAUUACUUAUAAGAUUUAAGAGAUAAAAUUUAAAAAAACUAGAGUAGCUCAGUUGGUUAGUGUAUAUGGUUAUUAACUAUACGGUUGUAGGUCCAACCCUUCCUUUUAGCACUUUAAUAUUUUUUUAGGAAGAUUAUUUAAUAAGUUUUUAGUCAAAAAUACCUUAAAUAAUACCUUUCAAUUUUUAUACUAUUUAUUUAAGACGUUUUUUUAUUAAAAAUACCAUAAAUAAUCUCUUUCAUUAUUUAUAAGAUUUAAAAGGUAAAAUAUAAAAAAAAUAGAGUAGUUCAAUUGGUUAAAACAUAUGAUUAUUAACUAUUAUAUUGUAAAUUUGACUUUUCUUUUAACGUUUAUUUUUUAGGAUUACUUUUUUUAUUAUUAUUUAAGAUGUUUUCUAAUCAAAAAUACCUUAAAUAAUUGUUUAAUUUUUUUUAAGAUUAUUUAAAAUAUUUUUCGUAUCAAAUGUCAUUAAUCGCAAUAUAAAAAAAAUUUAACAGCAAAAAUUUAUAAUUAAUUUAUAAUCACUUCCAUACAUACUUUUAAAAAUAGUAAAUUUAUUUUAUAAUUUUUUAUUCACAUCAAAUCUAAAAAUAACAUAAUUUUUUUUCAAAAUCUUAAAAUAUGAUAAAAAAAUUAUGAUUUUUGAUUUUAAAAAUUUAAAUAUUAUUAAAAAUUUAUCACUUUUUUUUAAAUCAAAUUAUCUUAAACUAAAUAUUAAAAUCAAAUAUUCAAUAAUAAAAUUUUAAGAAAAAAAAAGGUAUAAAUUUCUUCGUAACAAACCCCUUAAAAGAAUCCUACAACAUUUAACGUACUUUAGUUACUUUCCUCGGAAAAGGUAAAAGCCAACCUAACUCUUGGAAACUAGGAAGUCGAUUCCAGAACAAGAAGAUAAGGACGUUUUUUACGAACGAAAACUCAAUUAUUGAGUACUAAAAUGGUGUCUGUCAGGAUUUUGGAACAAAUAAAAUUCUUCGUUUUCUUUUUAUGGUGAAACGUGGUAAAAUUUAAUCUCAGUGAAAAAAAGAAAAAGAGGGAUUCAGGAAGCAGAGCAGAGGUGGGUCCAAGACAUGGAUGGUGAAUCGAGUGCGGGUGUAAAGACGGCGUUGCUUGUGAAGAGUGAGAGCGGAAAACGUGGACGGUUCAAUAGGCGUAACUCGUUGAACUCGCUGAGGAAUGAGUUUGUGUCGAGGUUGCCUGAUAAGGUUCGCCCUGGUCUGGAUGCUGAGUCCCCUUUCCACAUUGAUGUCUCCAAAAACAAAGGCUUAACUCCAGGUCUCUCUUUCAGUAUUUUAUUUUUUCUCUAUAGGAACAACUGGGAAAUGCGUUUACUUUUUCUGCUUUUCAGCUUUCAUGUUUGGCUUCUAAGAAUAUGUUUCUAGCUCUAAAUCUGUAUUGCAAUUUGUAAGAUUAUAUAUAUAUAUAUAUAUAUAUAUAUAUAUUAACACAAUUGAUAGAUAUAAAUAAAUAAAAUUUGCAAAAUUAAAAUUGUUCUUAAGUAUUUAUAGUCGAAACAUCGAACUUGACUAACCGGUUUAAAACAAAAUCACUUGUUUGAAAAUUGUUCGAUUUUCGGUCUAUAUCUUACGGAGGUACCUCACGUCAAUUCUCUUUCAAACAAAAAUUUUUUUUUCUUUUUUCUCUUGUCAUUUCUUCAUCAAAAUAUGUGUGAAAUAUGAUGGUGCUUUUAUGCUUAAUUUAAAUUAAAGGAAGAUAAAACAUUAUCUGAGAAAGAGAAACCCAUUAUAGGAGGUUCCAUGCACCAAUAUCAACAUCUCCCGCCCACACAUAACAGAUUUGAUACUUUCACAUUUAAUUUUAAGAGAACAAUAUCUCUAUUUUCGUACAAGGUUCAUACAAGAAAAUAGGUUGUGCCAUCAACAUACUUUAUAUCUCAAGAGCUCGUUGCUAUAUAAUUGCUAUAAUGAUUAAAGUAUUUAAUUAGAGUAAGUUUGUACUACCCUAUAUCUAUUUAGUCACAUUUUAAAUUUUUCAUGAUCUCAAUUGCACAAUAUAGUUUUGUAUUCACAAUUAUAUUUAAUUGUAUAAAACAUAAUUUGGUUAACCAGUGAAUACAAUUAAAUGUGACACUUAAAUGGUCUUCCCGUCUUUUAGAAUCUCUUCAUUCCAAAUUCAACUACUUUUCGGAUAUGUUACAUUUGAAUGAUUCAUAGUCAUUGAUAACAUUCCCAAAAGCUAACAUUGAAUUGACACUUUAAGAAACAGUCAAAAAGCCAGUCUCACACAACUAAGAAGUAUAGAUCAAUUUUUUUGUUACCCAUUUUGAUCGAAUAAUGCACAUGUAGUAUGAAACACAUGUUAUAGCAUUAUUCUUCUUUUCUCAUGAAGCAUAUGCGUUUAUCUCAGUUUCUAUACUGUACAAGUGAUAGUUCAUAUGCACUCAGUACCUCAUGUGAUCUACAACUCUACUUAUUGUUUACUAUAUUAACAGGACGUCCACCUGGCAUAAAGACUGAAAAAGUAAAUUGUGGGAUUAUUCACUUUUCUAUCAUAAUAUACGUGACUUCAUCUUGAUUCACUGUAUGAUUUCGUUUUAAGCUUAAGCUCUCUUAUAAUGCUUAAAACUAAUUUCAUGUCUAUACAGCACUAAACCUUUAGAGGUGAUUGCCUAUGUGAGAAAGUCAAUUUACUGCCUAAGGUAUAUUAUGUACUAGGCUAAGAAGCUGAAGACAUGUAAGGUGAGAGUUCGAACCCCAUUAUCCCCAUUCCCUAUUCCUUUAGAUAAAAAAGACUUAUACAUGUGUGUGCUUCAUAAAUAUAUUACUAAACUUAAUAGGCAUUAUAUACAUGAAAAAUUAUUAAAAACUCUUCAUCAAAAUGUCCAAAAUAAUUACAUCAAAAUCUACGCAAUCUUAAAGAUUUAACAUUGGCAUUGUAAACAUAUCUAGGUAUAAACUUCGUAAAUAGAUCUGCAAUCACUCUAUGCAUAGAUUUUUACUCUAAAUUCACUUUCUUUUGUGCAACUUACAUCUCUCAAGAAAUUAUAUUUGGUAUGUUUGUGUUUGGUUUUUAAAUGAUAUCCUUUUGACAGUUUUCUAACAGGGUUGUCCUAGAUUUGAUUGAUAUAUUUGCUUACCAUUCCAACUGCAAAACAAAUAUAUGGCCCUGUGCAUAUCAUAACAUAUAUAAGGCUUCGAACAACACAAGAAUAAGAAACUCUUGCUACCUGUUCCUUUCUUGUGGAGUCUUAGGUCACAUUUUUUGGCUCAAACUGUUACCUUCUGCAAUAGGCGUAUCAAUUAGCUUGCAGUGUCGCAUUUGUAAUCAUUUAAAAAUUUUCAUAAUAUGUGACUUUUGCGAAAGAGCUAACAAUUUCUUAGAACGAUCCCUUAUAGUUUUUACUCAAAGUAUAUUGACUCAACUGAGUCUUCUGCAAUUAUUUGGCUAAGUUAAUCAAGUUUUUAAAAUGCAUUGGGAACAAAAUAGAAAAAGAAAUUAACAACUUUAUGUUUUACAAAUUGAAGAUUCUAAAAUAAAUAAAAUUUUGCUUUUAUUAUAGCUUUCAAUUGUUCUUUUCUUUCAUAGGUGAAAAGGAAUACUAUAAAACACAAUUUGAGACCUUAAAAUCCUUUGAAGAAGUUAAUGCUUUGGAUGCAUCCUCUGAAAGCAAUGAUGGUGGAGAUGGUGAAGAUGAUGAAGAUGAAGACCAGGCCCAACAUGAAAGAGCCAUGCAGAUUUCUAAUUAUGCAAAUAUUGUUUUGCUGGCAUUUAAGGUACUUUUUUCUUUUUCUUUGAAGAUUUCUAAUCAGUUUCAAGAACAAACACAUCAAGUUGAAGAAUUUUGCUUAUAAAAUUUAAAAAUUUUCUGCUAUAUCAUUGUGAAUGUCACUCAUUCCUUGUGCUUCAGCUGUUAAAAUAACAAUUUGAGUAUUGUACAGCUCUAUGCUACCAUAAAGAGCGGUUCCAUAGCCAUUGCGGCAUCAACAUUAGAUUCUUUACUUGAUCUCAUGGCCGGCGGCAUACUUUGGUUCACUCACUUGUCAAUGAAAACGAUAAACAUCUAUAGGUAUCCAAUCGGAAAAUUAAGGAUGCAGCCUGUAGGCAUAAUCAUCUUUGCUGCAGUGAUGGCUACACUAGGUAUGCCCCUUGAUUGUUUCUCAGUUAGUUUUGUCAAAGUUAUCUUUGCCUUCACACCAUCCAUAAUCUCCUUAGAUUUCCCCUCUGCACUAUGAUUAUUGUUUUCCCAACUUUUGGGCGUCUUCAUCAUAUGAUCUAGCGGCAUACGUUUUGUUGCUAAGAGCACAUUCAGGCUGAAAAUCAUUUUGUAAUUUUAUCACAAAGAAGUUACAUUUUCAAACAUGAUCUCUUCAAUAUUCCGGUGCAUAAUACUUAAAUGAUAUAGACUGGAAUCUGCUUUAAUUUCCUAGGGUUGCUAGUACAUUCUCUUUUGGAACCAUGAAUAAAACUGAAAGUAUGAUGAAGGCGUCAGAAUACAUAUAUGUCACAGAGUCUAAAAUGCAUACAUGUUUGCAGGGGUCGUUACAUUCCAGUAAAAGUAAAUAAUCAAAGAGGUUCACUCUUUUAUGAUAGAACAACAUUGUGAAUCCUAUGUAUGUAGAGUGCAUCGUUUUAUAUCAAUGAAUCUUUUAUGACUUCACAUACACUUACAGGCUUUCAAGUGUUUGUCCAAGCUGUGGAGCAGCUAAUAGAAGAUGAACCUUCAGAAAAAAUGUCCUCAGGUCAAUUAGUGUGGUUGUACUCCAUCAUGUUGUCCGCUACAGUAGUAAAACUUGCCCUCUGGAUUUACUGCAAAAGCUCAUCAAACAGGAUUGUUCGUGCUUAUGCGAAGGUUUCUACUCCAAUUUUGUUGAGGAUUUCUUUAUUGUCACUUUGCUUGUGAUUGGCAACUAUGUAAUGCCUUCAAUUGCUGAUUCCCAGGAUCACUAUUUUGACGUGGUAACAAAUGUAGUAGGAUUACUUGCAGCUGUUCUUGGUGAUAAAUAUUGUUGGUGGCUUGAUCCUGCUGGUGCUAUUGCCCUUGCAAUUUACACAAUCUCGAAUUGGUCAGGAACUGUUAUAGAAAAUGCAGGUAAGCUUUUUAUAACAGGAAUUCUCCUAUAUGAUCAUUGGAGUUGAGAUUUUGAGAAAGCAGAAAAAAAAUGAAGGGUGGCAAACUAUUUCUUACCUGUAGCAAAAAUUCUUCUGAAGGUUCCAACCUAAAAUUUUUUGUUCUGGCCAUUAUUGAACUAUUCUGGCUUUAAUGUUUGAUAUGUUCUGAUAAUUUAAGCAGUAACAUACUCCAGAAAAGAGGUUGAAUUUGGUAGAAAACUUUUCCAUGCCCAUGAACCAGAAAUAUGACCUGUCAGUGAAUGAGAGGGAUGGAUAAGUAAACCACCAAAUAUGCUCUCACUUCCCAGUUAUUAAUUGAGUCAUUACGUUUGAAACUAAGUUUCUCAAUCUAGUGAUUAGAGCUUACAACUGAAAUAAAUUAUAUGCCUAUUGCGGGGAUGCAUUUAUGGGCAUGGGGUGAAGAAUGAUGAGUUAUCAAGUUUUAAAAAUUUAAUUGAAAUUAUCCUGUUAUUGCUCUAUCAUGUUACAUUAAGGUUUUAAGUAUAAUGUAAAUCAGACUUGCCCACCUCUAACCAUUAAUGCUUACAACCAACUGAAUGCGACAUCUCUUGAUGUAGUUUCUCUAGUGGGACAAUCAGCUCCUCCUGAGUUUCUGCAAAAAUUGACGUAUCUUGUCAUCAGACACCCUCAAGUCAAGCGUAUUGACACAGUCCGAGCUUACACAUUCGGUCUUCUAUAUUUUGUAGAGGUUAGUUUUGUUCAUUUCAGCCUUUUAUGAUUGUAAAAAGAUGAAGCAAUCUGGUGCAUGCCUUGUUGGUCAAAUUCAAUCCUAAACAUUAUCAUCAUGUUUGGCAUACAAGAUUAUGAUAGGAUAGGAUAAGAUGAUAUUAUAAAUAGGAUUAGAUUAAAUAAUGUUAUCAUAUCUUAUGUUUGAUGUGUGCAAGGAUUAAGAUAAGAUAAUUUAUUUAUUGGUCAAAAUCAUCAUUUCUCAAAGUUUAUAUAAUUUAAAUUAUUGAUGUAAUUUUUAAGGGUAUAAUAAGACAUGUAAAUUUAAUACCAUAGAUUAAAAAUAAUCCUCUCCACUUUGGGAGGAUUAAAUCAUCCUAUACCAAGAGGAUGAUCCUUCACAUAAUCCUAUCCCUUUCAAUUAGAUACAAAUCAAACAUAAUAUAAAACGAUUAUCAUACUAUCAUAUUUAUGAUCUUUUGUACCAAACUUGACCUAUGUUCUUUGACUGAUAGCUUUGAAGCUGUCUGUUUCUUACCCGAAGUAGAAAUUAAGCCCUUGGGCAUAACUGCACUUUAGUGCGUUAGAAUGUUAUGAAUUUCAACACUUCUUUUCUUUCUUUUUUCUUUUAAAAAUACGAAACGGGUUGUAGGUAUUAAGAUUUGAACCCAUAUCUUUUAGAUAAUUCCUUUUUUAAGAUGAUUGUAUGAAUUAGUUGAGCUAAGUUUCGAGUUCAAAAUUUCAACACUACUUUUAAGCAAUAUUCCAUUAAAUUGCAAUUCUUAUUUACAAAAACAUGUGAUGAGUGAAUCUUAAGUCACAAGGCAAAAAAUAAAGAAACUAUUUAACUAAUCUGCAAACACUGUUUCUUUUUCUUUUUCUUCUUACCUUUGUCUUGUCAAGCAAUACACAGAUGUGCUGCAUGAUAUUGGAUUAACAGAAACAUAUUUUGACAAACUGCUUUGAAACCCAUGUCAAUGUUUAUACAGGUGGACAUUGAACUUCCUGAAGAUUUGCCAUUAAAAGAAGCACACACCAUAGGAGAGACCUUGCAGAUAAAGAUUGAGAAACUUCCUGAAGUUGAGCGUGCAUUUGUUCAUCUUGACUUUGAAUGUGAACACAAACCAGAGCACUCUGUUCUCAACAAGCUACCCAACAAUAAGCCUUGAUUGUUUGUUACCUCUCGCCGAUAUAAAUUCAGAAAAGUUGUCUGAUAUUACCUUUUGUUUAAGUCUGGUUUCCUUUUUGGGGGAUUUCAUUGUUGGGGCUCCUCCGUUUUGGGUGUGUUUUGGACAACUAAGAGAUUUUUAUCUCUCAAUCAAUAAACUUACUUGGCUUAGCCAAAAAAAAGAAAAAAACAAAAGAUAAGUUGCCCUUCGGAUCUUUAUGGAAUAGUUUUCCUCCUCGAGUGUUUCUUGAGUAUCAGCACGAGGAUCAGACACAAACCAAUGGUCAAGGGGAAUAACACCAUGAGUGAAGCAUUUGUUCUCUUGACGUCAAGUUGUUGGUAAAAAAUAAAUGUCAGCAUAUCGUUUUUCAUUGGUAUUCUCUCCAACUUCAAGAGCAUGGCGUGGGAAUUUGUUUAGCUUUUGAGAAAUAUAAAUAAGAAUUAAUUAUACUUUAGUACCUAAACUUUGGAAAAAAAUCUAAAUUGGUAUUUUAAAAAAUAAAACAUACAAUUUGUAUCCUAAACUUUCAAAUAAAAUAAAAAAUCACCUUAUAUACAUAGCGUUUGACAAAUAUUAUCAAAUUAUAAAUUCAUCAAACAUAUUAUCAACAUUUUUAUCAAUAUAAAUUAAAAAAUAUAUAUCUUUUUACCUAAAUCGUAAAAAUUGUUUAGAAUCGAUCAAUUAUUAUUUGUCAUGUGACAUCUACAUGACAUUAAUAUGAUGUUUUUACAAUAUAUUUAACACUUUCAUUUAACAAGUAAAAUGCAUAUAAAAAAAAUUACUUUGGUUAAAUACCAUAAAAGUUAGUUAAGUUAUAAUAUUAAAAUUAAAAUGAUAUAUUAUUUGAAAAUUUAAGGUGCAAAUUAUAUAUUUUAUUUUUUAAAUAUUAAAAAAAAAUAAUAUUAUGAUAAAUAUCAUCAUAUUAUCAAAACAAUGCAAAAGACUGGAUUUACGAAAACACAAAUUUAAUCAAAUUACGAAAAUGUUGCAGAAGCGAUACUAACUUGAUUCCAAGAACAAGAUCACACAUUCAAAGAUAAUCUACCAUCCAUAGUAUAAGUCCUUAAAAACCGAUGCAAGAGAUUUUUCGAAGAGUUUUCUUUUCUUUGCUGUUUUUUUUUUCUCUUAAUUUCUAAGUAACUUAUCACAUAAUCUCACAUAAAUAAACUUAUCUCAUACUUUAUUUAAAUAAACAUAUUCGUCUUCUUUAUCAUAGCCAAAUUUCAUAUUAAGUAUUGAGAUAAGAAGAGACACGGCAAAAAACUUUUCAUCAUCUCCGUACAAUGAUUGAAUGCCAUUUUUCCUUCUACAUUUUGCUAUGGUGAAAAUGCCAUCCAUUAAGGAAGAGAGAGAAAGAGACAGUUUUUGGCACACAUUAAUGUGAUGGAGUUAGAAACUGACAAGGAUACCAGUAAGAGGUUAAAGGAAAAUGACAAUAAAGAUGAUACAAAAGAGUUAAGAAUGAAAUUAUCUAAUGUAAACUGUCAAGCCAAUGAUUAGUCGAUUACAUGAAUAGUAGUUACUAAAAUAACAACUGUCUGUAUUGUGGGUUGUAAUUCACAAAUUUUAACUGUCAUAUAUAUGUACAUUUUCAGCUUGAAUGAGAAACCACAAUUUUCUUACACUCAUAUCUCUCUCUUGUCUGGUCUUAAUCUUUUUUUCUUCUAGUUUAUUUCUUAUUUCUCUUUUUUAGAUUAAUUUUCGGUUAAUCAAUAGCAUCAUUCUAUUACAAUUUUGGUAUCAAAGCCUAUUAGAUCUACUUUCAAUAUGGGAAAACCUAAGAAACAACAAACCAUGAUUGACGGAGUGAACUUGGAUGUUCUAUAAUAGUAGGUCCUGGUGAUGUAAGGGCAGCUUAAGGUUGUAAUGAUUGCUAUUAAUAGUUCCAAAGUGUUGGGAAGAACAAAUGAAGCUUAUUAAGUCCCAACUUACUGAAAAUCAGAAACAUAUAAGAUAAGUGCUUGAAAUGUUAGAUCCAAGAAAGGCAAUUAAAACUCAACUAGAAUCAGAAGGGAUAACUAGUAGCCAACCAUUUGUUCCUAUUUCUCAGUCUAAAAUGGGAGGUAAGGCUCUUAUUGUAAUUAUAAUAAUAGAUGAUCAUGAAAAAUAUGUUUAUAAGCCUGGUAGAGUAGGAUAUUAGCUAGUAAACAACAUAAAAUCAAUGGUAGUACCUUUCAAUUUAAUACUGAACAAUCUAAGAAUGCUGAUUUCAUUGCUAGUAGUAGUUUUUCAACUGUUAUGAAUAUAUUUGCACCUAGACCUAAGAUUGAGUUGUCAGUCUUUGAUGGAAACAACCCUAGGGGUUGGCUUAAAAAUGCCAAAAAUACUUUGCCAUAUUUUCAAUCUUUGAUCACCAUAAAUUAGAUAUAGCUGCUAUGUACUUAGUGGGAAAGGCUAAAGUGUGAAAAAAAAUGGUGACAUGGUUAGAGUUUACUAAUAAUUUGUGCCAACGAUUCUAUGACAAAACCUACUCUGACAUAAUAGAAAAGUUUAACAAAUUGGCCUAAAAGAUCACUGUGGAUGAAUAUUAAGAAAAUUUUGAAAAGUUAAUACCUUAUAUGUUGCAAUAUAACCCAUACUUGACUGAAGGGUACUAUAUUUCUAGCUUUAUAGGUGGACUCAAUGAUGAAAUCAAGCUUAGAGUGAAGGCUAAUGAACUUGGAACCCUUACUACUACCUAAUAGCAAGCCAAACUACAUGAACUAUCACUUGAAUUUGAAAACAAAAGACAUAAGUAGACCACCAAACCUAUGUUUACCUUUAAUAUUAGCCUUUAUUAUACUUAACCAAAACCAAAUCCAUAAGCCAAUUCCAUACCAAAUAAACAACAGCUUAUUGAACAAAAAAGGCUACAAAUCUAUGUUUUAAGUGCGGUAAGAAAUUAUGCCAUGCCAUGUUUGUAGAACAAUACAACUUAAUGCCAUUACUACUGAUAAAUCCAAAGAGGAAAAGGAUAACAUGUAGGAUGGUGAGGGAGAACCAAAAGGAGUUGAGGAAUAAGACAAUCCUGAAAACUUAUAGAUUUCUAUUAAUGCUCUUAUGGGUAGUGUUGGGCACAGCGCUCUUAAGAUUGAAGGAAUGAUAAAAGGGAAACCACUUAUAUCUUUAUUGAUAGUGGCAACACUCAUAGUUUUAUCAUUCUUAAGUGGGCUCGAGAGAGUGGAGCUGGAGCAAACUAAUCUUUUAGCUAUAAUAGUAACUAAUGAAAAGAGAUUUUAUAGCAGUGCCAGAUGUAAGAAGUUAACCUAGUGAAUAUAGGGACAUGUUUUCUCAUAUGAUUUGAGAGUAUUGCCAAUAGGGGAUAGUGACAUAGCUCUUGGAGUUGAUUGGAUGAAAAGGUAUAAACCCUUAAUGUUCGAUUUUAAUAAGCUAUCUAUGAUUUUUCAGAAAGAAGGUUAGCAAGUGACAUUGAAAAUAAGUAAAAAAGCAACUAGGUGUUAAGCUUAUUAUUAGUAAAAAAUUGUAAAAAAUGGCUAGUAAAGACCCAAACAUAAAUGGAGAGCUUUAUAUGAUCAAUGUAGAUUAUAUGAAAGAAAAAACUCCUCCUAAACUGUAGAAAUUGCUCAUUUCUUAUUCUAACAUCUUUGAAGAACCAACAAGAUUACCACCAGCUUGAUCACAGGACUAUAGUAUACCUCUCAAGCUGUAAAUUUGAGACCAUAUUGUAAACACCAAAUUUUAUCCGAAAUAUUUUAACAUGGUUAACCUGGGCCCUAUUUUGAACUCAGGCUAAAAUGAUUAAUUUAGGCCUAUUAUGAAGGCCCAUUCAUAACCCUAAAGGAAGCUCGAUUACAAGUCUAAUUCAUGACCCAUUUAAAGCCCAAUGGAUGGCUCGCUUUAAGGGCCUAUUACAUGGCUCACGUAUAGCCCGAGCCCGUUUUAAAGGCCUAUUUAGAAGCCUGUUAUAUAGAUCAAAAUAUGGUACAAAACAUAAGCUUAAAUAACACAAAGAAAGGAAAGAGGUAGCCUGUAACAACAAAAGAAGGUUCAUAGUUGGGAAUACCCAUUCUAGUGUCACGUGUAGGGGUUUAAGAACUUGUACUAGGGGACAAUCAGCACAAAACAGCUGCAGUAGUAAACCUACAUAAAAACCAACCUUAAAAGAUAAAAUAAUGAGUUAGUGGCCAUCGGUAAGGAAAAAAAAGAAUAAACUUAGGAAGGAAACUCCCUUCAUCAUCGUGCAAAAUAGAGAAUCGUGCAAGAACAAAAGGAGAACAAUGUUGUCAAAAAUCCGGAAGAAAACUCCCUUCAUCAUCAUCGCCUUUACCUGCUAGCUAAUUUUUUACUGUAGAGGCUGCCAUUGCUGUUCCAAAUGUACCACCAAGGGCACCAUCGUACUGUCAGACUUAACCCUAUGGCCGAAAGAACCAAGUGAUGAAAUCUCAUUUUUGCUAAUUUUCUCUUCGUAAAUAGCAUUUAACUGGAGAAAAUAUGAGCAUGCCUAAGAAUCUUCAAGCCUUCUUACCUAGCCUGUUUGAGAAAAUUGGUUUAUAGAACAAAAGAAGCUUGGAUUGCUAACUAUAAGGGUUUUUUUCGAAAACUAAAAGUCAUGUAAGUUGAAAAGAAAUAUGUAUUUCAUGAGAAUGUUUGGUUGUCUUUUGAUGAGAUUCCAUGGUUUGCCAUUUAUGCUUCUAGCAUUAUUGUUUGCAAGGUAGCCCUUAUUUACAAGAAAAUAGGAAUAAAUAAAUGAUAACAUAUUGGGAAUAAAGAGAAAGAAAGCUCAAGGAUUAGAAACUUCAAAGCUUGAAAAGCCAUGGCUAGAAUCAGUGGCCUCUGGAGAUUGCCAUGCAUAAUAAACCUUUUUCUUCUUUUCUUUAUUCCAAUAAUUAAAUAAAUGAUAAAGACAAUAAAGGUAGAAUAAAACAAUUGUUUUGCCAUGAUAAAUGGAUGUGAUGGAUGUUUUCUCUUAAUUGGGAUAUUUCUUCUUAUAAUAAACUAAUAUCUUAAAAUUUGAGGCCAUAUAUUUAUUUGUUAAUAAACUUUAUUAUAAUACAUGCCACCUGAGUAGUGAUUCUUUAAAAUCUUUAGGUGAAAAUAUUUUUUUAAAUAUUAUCAAAUUAAUGAAGUAUUUAGGAAAGUAUUUAAUACUAAAUAUUUUUUAUUUAUUUAAUUUCUUAAAAUUAUAUUUACAAUUAAAUGAUAUCUUAAGUAUAAAAUAAAAUAAUAAAAUUUACAAUUAAAUGAUAUUUUAAAGCUUCCAAUUUACCUACUGCAUCUGUUUUACUCUAUCGUAUGGUUGUAGCUUGUAAGAAGGCUUGAAAUUUUAAAUUUCUUUUCAUGUUUACUAGUUAAAAUAGUGAAAGGGUGGUUCUCUUUUUUUUUUUUAAAAAAAAAAGAAUAAGUACACAUAAAAGCCAAGACGUUGAUCUAUAAUCUUUUGCCUUCCUUUUGUUUGUUUUAAGAUGGGAUAAUUCUAGACAAUCUCUUGUAGUUGAAAUUCUAUAGUAAAUAAAAUUUUAAAAUAUAAAUAUAAAUAUUAAAAGCUAAGACGCGGGGCCAUGACCCUUUGCCUUCUUUUUGUUAGUUUAAAAAUGGCAAACAAUUGUUUUAAUUGAAAUUCUAUAAUAAAUACAAUUUUAAAAUAUAAAGCAUAAAGUUUGUUCCCAAUAAAGCUUUACUUUUAUGUAUAUUUAAUUUUAAUCAUGCAUAUGCAUAUAUGUUUUAUGUUGUUUAAGUUUAAUUGCAAGUUUAAUUUUAUACAUUUUUUAUGCAUAUAUUUUUAAGUUUAAUUUUAUACAUUUAAUUUUAAAUAUAUUAUUUUUUUUAUCCCAAGAACAUUUAUUGGGGUAUUUAGAAAAAUUUUCAAUAAAAGAUUUUAUUUUUCUUGUUCCUUUAAAAAAAUUUUAACAAUGAUGGUGAAAUAACAGGUAAUAGGUUUUUUUUUUUAAAUAUCUAUAAUAUGUUUUUUCAUUUGUGUGUUGCACUUUUCUUGAGAUUACAUAAUUUUAAAAGUAAUAAAAAUUUUUGAUAAUGGGACUCUGAGAAGUUCAAGCAGUGAUUUCGAAAAAUUCUCUAAAUGAAAAAAAGAUUUCUAAAAAUUAUCAAAGUAUUGAAAUAUUUAGAAACUCUUUUCAAUACAAAGAUUUUUAUUUUUAAUUUUAUUUUCUUUAAUUUGAAUAAUUUUCUUUAAAAAAGAGAGAUAAAAAAUAUAUAAAAUAUUUAUAAAAGUAUUUUUUAAAAAAAUAAUCAUAUUUAUAAAUAAUUAUAUUAUUACAUGAUUUUUUAAAUUUUAAUAAUUGCAAAAAAAAAAAAAAGAAAUCUCCGAGGAUGAGAUAUUAAAAAAGUUCGAGUAAUGAUUUCCUUAGGAAUCUCUAGGUGAGAAAGUUUAUUUAAAAUGCUAUCAAUGUAUUGAAAUAUUUAGAAUAAUUUUCAAUAAAGAUUUCUUAUGUUUUAAUAAAUAAAAUAAGAAAUAAAUUUUUUAAUAUUAUCGAAAUUAAAUUAUAGUUAUCUUAUUUUAUUACAUGCAUUGAUUUUGAUGAUAAAUAUGAACCAUCGAGAUUAUGAUUUUUUAGAAUUUCGAGUAGAGAUUCUUAAGAAUUCUUUAAGUGAGAAAGUUUCGAUUAAUAUUACCAAAAUAUUGAAAUAUUUUCGAGAAUUUUUCAAUAUGCAAAGUUCUUAUUUAUUUUUUAAAAAUAAAAAAUACUAAAAAAAUAAAUAUAUUUUUUACAAUAAAAAAAUUAAUAAAUGCCAAAAUUAAAAUAAUUUUAGUCAAAAUCAAAAGAUAACAUAUAAUUAAUUGGUACCGCUUGUAUAAACGCUGUGAGGGUGCUAAUCUUUCUCCAUGCGUAAUCGACUCUGGAACCCAAAUUGUUUUUGCAGACUCAAAAAAAUUAUCUUUUUAAUAAAAUUUUAAUUAACUUUAAAAUUUUAUUAAAAUAAUAAGUUUUAAUAGGUGGCUAAUCACACCUAGCCAAAAAAAAAUGUGACAAUUCCUUUUUUUUUUUUUUCAAAUCCAUUCAGCGGUUUUCAAAACCGUUACAACAACUUAGCAACUCUAUUGGAGAAGUCAUUUUUUUUAGAGUCAAGCCAAUAAUUAAUUAUGUGUUAUCUUUAAUUUUGUUUUAAUGAUCUUAAUUGGUAUUUAACCUUAAUUGCCUUAAUAAUAAUAAUAAUAAUAAUAAUAAUAAUAAAAGGAAAACAAAAAAGCUGUAUUUCAUUUGACCCACCCUUUAUUUAUUUUUUGCUUUUUUAUUUUAUACUUUGUAUAUAAUAUUAUUGUUAUUAUGAGGUGCUUAAAAUAAGGAUUACAGUACUCUGUUCCCAUAUUCACUCACGACAUAUUCACACCAUACAUAAGCUCUAUAUUCGAGCUUAAACCCACUUAGAAGGGAGUAAAGUAUCUAUAUUUUAGUGAGGUAAUAACCUCCGUAAUGGUAAGCGAAAUUCUCACACUCAAAUCGAACAAUUUUUGUUUGUAGCUUAUAAUGAGUGAGGAUCGAGGUACCUUACUAGUUCAGAGUAUAUGCCAAUGAGAAACAGUUUGGGGAUUUUAGAUGCAAAUUAUUUCGAACCAAGCAUAUAGUAAGCUAUAAGGGCCAACCUUAGGUAGAAGCAUGCCCACUUUUUGUAAAUCAUCCUUAAAAAUUAGGACGAAAAAGGGGAACAUUUUUAUUAUAAUACUUUUCCAAAGAAAAUCAUAAAUGUAUGCAUUCAUAUUUGAUUUGAUUUUUCAAAAACAAAAUGAUCUUUGUCUCAAUUUCCUUUCUUUUUCUAAAAAUAAUAUAAAAAGAAAACUUUUUCUUUUGUCUAUUCCAUUUUCCAAGUUUUUAUUACUAUUUAUUAUUUCCAUUUUUUCCAUAUACUAACUUAUUGUUUUUUCCUUUUGUAUCUUUUUUGCAUAAAUGACAUUGGCAUACUACAAUAACAUAUUGAGGUAUUUGCUUCAAGGCAUCUUUCAGCAAAGUUCUUUUCAUAGAUCCCACAGUAUUAUAGAUUUGUUCUUCUUCUAUAAGUGCCUAAUGUGAAUCAUAUAAUGAGGUGUAUGAAUGGGCUAAGAAAACUCAACAAAAGGAAGGGGAUUGUUUAUCUAUUGGUUUUGUGUCGAGAUUAUUGGAAAAAGUGCAUUUGAAUCUUACAUAGAAUAAUUUAGAGGAUUUGGCUACCAUAUGGAAUCAGAUGGGUGAAGCUAAAAAGGAAAAGUUUUGUGAAAAGUAUGGGCAAAUUGCAUCUUUUAUCUCCGUAGUGAUUGAAAAGCAUUUGAUUCGAGCAGCCAUUCAGCUUUGGGACCCAUCAUAUAGAUGUUUCAUAUUUAAUGAAAAGGAUUUGACACCGACCAUUAAGGAAUAUUCAAUUCUAGUAAGAUUGGAAUUACAAUAUCCCGAUAAGAUAUAUGUCAGGAAACCAAAUCAAGGUACCAAAAAAAGAUAGCUAAAUUGAUAGGAAUGAAAGUAGAGGUCAUGGAUGCUUUGACGAAUGAUAAAGGCAAAAAUGCCAACUUAUCUUGGCAUUUCUUUCAUGAUUUCAUUUUAGGACACUUGGAAGAUGAUCAAGGCAUGGUAGUGUUUGCCUUAGCAAUUUAUGGCAUGAUAAUCUUUCUAAAAACUCAGGGAUACAUUGGACUGGCCAUAGUUGAUUUGUUCGAACAAAUUGAAAGCCAGGCAAUUAAUUCCAUUCCAAUCAUCCUAGCUGAGACAAUUAGCUUAUUGAAUUUUUGUUGCUGGAAUGGGGAAUGUUUCAUAGGAAGUGCACAACUAUUAUUUGUUUGGAUACCAAGCCAUUUUAGAUGCUAGAAAAGUGUUUUUUCCAAGCCUUAUCUUCAAAAUAAAGCUCUGAUCAAAAAGUUUUGCUAGAGUCAAUGGCCAACAUUGAAAUCCAAAGAAUAAUAGGUAGCAUUCUUUUAAAGGCUUACUAGUGAUUAGAUCAAAUGGAUGGCACAAUGGCUGCCUCAUGUGUAUAUGUUAUAUCGAGGUGAAGAUGGUUCGUGGGUAUUGCUUUUAGGAUAGUAUAGAGUGGUAAGUUACGUUCCACUAAUGGUGUUAAAGCAAUUUAGUGUGAAGCAAUUUGUCCUUGCAACACAUGGACUCGCCCAAGUAGAAUUUGCUUAUAGAGAAACGGGUUCAUCAAGAACAACAGACUAGUUAGUUCAGGUAUGGAAGAAGACUCAGAGGCUAAGAUUAUGACCUAUCAUUGACAAGGUCAAUCUUGGUUACUCAAUUUGGAAGGCAAAGUAUUCUAGAGAUAUUGUGCUCCCUCCAGAUGAUUUUUUAUUUCAAUAAGUGGACACGCGGGCAAAAGAACCAUUGUUAGAAGUUGAGCUUGUUAGGUAAGAACUUAAAGCAAAAAUAGAGAAUUUAAGGAAAAGGAAUUUAAAAUGUCAAAAAGAGAUGGGAUAACUGAAAUAUGAAGUGAAAGCCCAAGAAUGUAGACUCAAAAAGGCAAUGCAAGAUCGAGAUGUGGCCAAAAAUGACCUAAAAAAUUUUCACCAAGAGAACAAAAAGAUGUGAACCAAACUGAAUGAGGGAAAAGUUGUUAGACGUUGUGUAAGGCAUCAUGGAGAGAUGAUUGAACUUCACGAAAAGGAUGCAGAUUUUGAAGGACAAAGCCAAGAAAAGUGAAGAAAAGGUAGUUAGGAUCUCUUGUGAGUAGCAAAAUUGGGACGAUUUGUGUUCAACAGCCUCAACAAGGUUGAUAGAAUGCUGAAAGGAAAAUACUAGAUUAAAGGCCUAGAAAAAGGAUGAAAAGAGAAAACACUAUGAAAUACAAGAAAAAAAAGAAUCACUCUACAAAGUAAUUGAAGAGAUAGAACAACAUUUAUGAGACCACAAGGACCAUAUUUCCACAAUCAUCAAAGAAUGGCAAAAUAGGGAAAAAGAUUGGAGAUACACUUGUGAUCUCGAGGUGGAUGCUCACAUGAAGUGGAAAGUGAAGAGCUUGGGAAGACAACAAUACAUAAAGUAUAUGGCUAGUCAAAUUUGCAAGGCAGUAAGAAAAGCACGGGAGAUGGUUGAAAGGGUAGAAGCUUUGAUACAAGAAAUCAACCCAACUAGAAGUUAUGAAUAACAUUUAUUGAACUUUUUGGUUGAAGCUAAAGAUCAUUAUGAACAAAUUAAAUGUUUCUAUGGUUACAAUUCUAGAAUGACAGACUCUUUGUAAUCACAAGUUAUUCGAAAUCAAUGAAAAGUUCUAAUGUUUAAGAUGUUUCUUGGAGUAAAUACGUCUUAAUGCGUUCAUGCAUACAUUGUGCAUAUUUCUUUCUCUCUCAACUUUUAUCUCAUUAAAAUGAUGUUUUUAAUAUUAAAAUAAAGAUUUUUCUUUCAAAAAAAUAAUAUGGCAUCCUAAUUUUUCAAAUUGUGGUAUUAAAAGUUUAAAGAUAGCUCAACGGUUGAAAGUUCGAAACCAAUAUGCUUACCACCCGUACAAUACAUGAUCACAUAUCAGAAUUUUAAAAAACGAGCAGGCAACCCAAAUAGAAUGAAUGGAAAAAGCUCAGGAAGUUAUGCGAGAAUGGAUGAUUGAAAUGUAAAAGGAAAUGCGAAGACAAAUGAUGGAGUUAAGGGAGUUAAUAGGGGCAUGGCAAAAGGGACAUGUGUUGCUAAAACCUCUAUUGCAAGAAAGGAAAAUCGACUUCAAGAAAACAACAAUAUUAGAAAAGAGUCACUUUACCCACCCAGGUAUACACCACCCCAUGCUUGAGCUUCCCAAGUGAUAUAUCCACCACUUAUGGGUGGGUAACCUUACCCAUUCGUGAAUGUGAACGUACCAGCUAACCAACAACAAAUCAGGGGCAAUUUGAACAAACCCGAUGAUGUAAUUCGAUUGAUCCAAUUUUUGUUCCUAAUUUAGAUGAUCUCGAAGACUAAUAGAAAUUAAGGGGCAUAUUGGAGUCAAGAGAGAAAAAAAUUUAACACAAAUAUGAUUGCUAGAAAAGAGACUAAAAGCCAUAAAAAGAAUGGAUAUCUUUGGAAGUAUUGAUGCAAAUAAACUUAGUGUAGUCCUUGAUCUAGUAAUUUCACUAAAGUUUAAAACUCCUAAUUUUGAGAUGUAUGAUGGAACUAAGUGCCCAUUGGCUCAUCUCACAAUGUUCUGUCAUAAAAUGGUAGGUCACACUGAUAAUGAUAAGCUUUUGAUCAGCUAUUUUUAAAACAGCCUCACAAGGUCUACGGCUAGAUGAUAUAUCCAAUUAGAUAGGCGUUGCAUAUAUUCUUGAAGAAUUUUGCUAGAUCUUUUCUUAGUCAAUACAAGCAUGUAUUGGACAUUAUUUUUGAUAGGUUAUCACUGCAAAAUAUGAAAAAAAGAGCCAAUGAAACUUUCAAGAAAUACGCCUAUAGAUGGAGGGAUCUUAUGCUCAAGUACAACCAUUUUUAUUGGAAAAGAGUUAAUAAUGCUUUUUGUCAUACUCUCAAGGCACCAUAUUAUGACAAGCUUAUUGGCAAUAUAAUGAAAAAUUUUGUUGAUAUGGUAAUUUAUGAAAAAGUUUGCUGAUAUGGUAAUUUCCAAUGAAAUGAUAGAAAACACCAUCAAGAAUGGCAAGAUCGAGUCAGGUGAUACCUCUAAGAAAGUAAUACCACCUAAAAAGAAAUAUAAAGGCAUAUGCUAUUGCCUAUAGGAAUCUACCACCCAGAAAUUUCAUCCCAUAUCACCCUUAUCCAUCCUACCUACUUUAUUACCCCACCACAAAUAACGUUCUCUAAGGUCCAUACCCAUAUCAAUCGGUAUCAAAUCAAAAACCUAGAAAUUUCAUCCCAUAUCACCCCUAUCCAACCUACUCGCCUUAUUACCCCACCAUAAAUAAUAUUUUUUAAGGUUUAUACCCAUAUCAAUCGAUAACACCACCAAGAUUUCCAUAAAAAGCUUUUGCCUUCUCAUUUCUACUUACAGCCCUGCACUUGCAGCCCAACUUGUUGUUUAGCCAAAUAGUUUAACAAGCAAUCCUAGAAGUCCAAUAACCACUUAAGAGGAAAUUCCCAUUGACCCCAUUCUCAUGCCUUAUAUUGAUUUGUUCCUUCAACUAAUAACAAACCAUCUCAUUGUGCCUCACCCUAUAAAGCCAUUGAAACCUUCAUACCCUAGAUGGUAUGAUUCGAAUGCUCGAUGUAAUUAUCAUGAUGGGGUUACGAGUUAUUUGAUAGAAAACUGCAUGGCUCUUAAGAAUAGAGUGCAACAUUUGAUCAAUAAAGGAUAUGUAAAUUUUGAUACCAUCGGAAAGCUAAAGGUUAAUGAAAAUCCUUUAACAAAUCAUGGUAGGCUAACGAUCAAUGCAAUAGAUAAAAGUAUGUUAGGAUGCGUUAAAAAAACCAUUAAUGAAGUUAAAACCUUGAUGGGUCAAAUGUUUGAAAGCUUGGUCAAAGCUGACAUGCUUUAUCCAAUUUUUUCAUAAAUAAAAAUCCAUCAUAAAGAUUAUGACCAGGCCCAAACUUGUAUUUAUCACAUGAAUAUGGUAUGACACUAUUCAAAAUUACAGCGUGUUUCGCCAAGUGUUGUAAACAAUGAUGGAUUUAUCCUUGGUAGAGUUUUAUGAAAGAGAUGAUCAUAACACGAUGAAUGCAAAGAAGAAAGAUCUUUAAGUAGUAUGUUCUCUAAGUUUGUGCUUACGCCAGUGAUGAUUUGUUGUAAUGAAAAACUAAGUAUGGCACAAAAGCAAUCCUUGAUGGAUGCAAUAGGGGGAAGAUCUUUUAGAAGUAUGUUCUUAAGUUUGUGCUUAAACCUAUUACUAUCUUUUGCAAUGAAAAACUAAGCUUGGCAAAAGAGCAACCUAUUUCCAUGAAACCUAUAACAAUUCGAGGCCUUAACCUAUUCCCUUACCAGAAUGACAAAUAAAUGCCUUGAAAGUAUGAUUACAAUGUCAUGGCAUAAGGAUCAAAUGACUAUUAGAUCGCAAAUGACCCAAAUAUCACCAACACUACAAAUAUAAUUGGAGUAGGAAGAAUGACAUAAAGUGGGAGGUAUUAUACUCUAUAAAUGCUAAAAAAGCUCGAAAAGAAAAAGCUAAAGAAUAAGAAAAUAUGUUGGGAGAAAGAGAAAAAACUUAUCUUGUAAUGGUUUAAGAUGCAAGAUAUAAAGAAGCUAUCAUUGAAAAAAAAGCCAAUGAGUUUUCUGAAGUUGAUUAAACACAGUGAAUACAGUGUAGUGGAGUAGUUGAACAAGAUGCCUACCAAAAUUUUUAUUAUCGCUAUUAUUAAACUCUAAACUAUAUCAGAACACCAUAUUGAAAGUGAUAAACCAAGCACACAUAGACCGUAACAUCUCUGUUGAGAAUACUGAUCAUAUUGUGCGGAGUAUUAUGGCUUCGAAUUUCAUAACUUUCAAUGAUGAUGAGAUUUCAUCGAAAGGAUAAGACAAUUCCAAGGCCCUUUAUAUCAUUACUAGGUGCAAAAGCUAUAUCCUAGCUAAGGUUCUUAAUGACAAUGGCUCUUCAAUCAAUGUCAUGACCAUGAUCACCCUAACACAAUUACCAUUAAUGCAUCAUAUAUGAAGACCAAUCAUAUGAUAGUAAAGAUUUUUAUGGGUUUCAAAGGGAGGUGUUAGGAGACAUUGAGAUACCAAUGCAAAUAAGACCAUGUACUUAUUCUAUAGAAUUUCAAGUUAUGGAUAUUUUACCAUCAUUUAGCUGUCUGUUGGUAUGAUCAUAGAUUCAUAUGGCAAGCAUUGUCCUAUCAUUUUUGCAUCAGAAAGUAAAGUUUAUGUUAAAAAUCAACUGAUCAAUGUUUCUGGAGAAGAGAACUUGUUGGUAACUAAACUCACGACUACCCCAUAUUUAGAGGCUGCGAAUGAGGCACUGGAAUGCUCUUUUAUAUUUUUUGAAUUUACUAAUGCAACUUAUGUGGGAGAAGAAUCGAAGGUGCCCACUCCGUGCUUAUCAAGAGCAACUAAGAGGAUCAUUAAACAAACACUUGGUAAAAAAUGAUGUGUUAAAUACAGCCUUGACAAGAAGUUGCAAGAAAUCAAAGCCACCAAGGGUGUUUGAAAACAGGAAAAGGUUUGGAUUGAGAUUUAAGGUCACUGCGAUAGAAAGGAAGAAAGAGAAAAGAUUGGCACGAUUUAAGGGAUAAAAACUAGAGUACAAGAGAAUGAUCAUCCCUUACCACUAUGAUAUAUUUUGUUCAAGCGAUGUAUCCUUCAUGAUUCAUUAGAGGCCAUACCAAGGGAACCUAUGCUGAACAUGAAAGAGACUUUUUCUAAACUCUAUAUCUAUAUGAUAGGUGAUAAAGCAACAACAACUCAAGAAAAGGAACAUCUUGUUUACCCAUGUCUUCCCGAUGAAAGAGCUGAAUAAUUUAAAAACAAUGAAGUUACCGGUUAUCCUUAAAUCUUUCAAAAAGUAAUGUAGUAAGCUAAUUUCCCCCAAUGCUUCUGUCUAAAAGCAUUUGAAAGACUUUUGUAAAGGCUUGUCUUUCCUUUAUCAUUUCAAUAAAAUGACUAGUGUUUUGCAUUUUCAUUUCCUCUAUUAUUUCAUUCAUUCAAAGUUACAAUUUUUUUUUCUUUCCUACACGUACGCCUACAUUCUUUCAAUUUCACCCAUUUUUAGGUUUUCAAAUAAUGAAUACAAGGAUGGAUAAUCAUGACAAUAAUCCAAGAUUUGACUUUGAAAAACCUAUUCAUGUUGAUGAACUUAAUAAUGAAGAUGAUUCAAAUGAGUACAAUUUGUCCCUUGAUUUAUUAAACUAAUGGAACAAAAAAGGAAACAAAUUGAACCUCAUGAGAAAGCUUCAAAUGUAGUCAAUUUAAAUGAUAAGGAAAAUAAGAAAAAGGUGAAGGUAGGCACAUCUCUUUCACCCACAGAAAGAGGAAAGCUAAAGGAAUUGCUUCGUGAGUUUAUUGAUGUAUUUACAUGGUCAUACCAAGAUAUGUCAGGAUUUAAGUCAGAUAUUAUAAAACACCAAUUGCAAUUGAAACCAGAAUACAAACUAGUGCAACAAAAAUUGAGGUGUAUGAAGUCAACUUAUUGUUAAAAAUCAAAGAAAAAAUAAAAAAAACAAUUUGAUGUAGGUUUUUGGAAGUAGCCAAAUACCCGAAAUGGGUAGCUAAUAUAGUGUCAGUCCCUAAGAAAGGAUGGAAAAGUUUGGAUGUGCGUGAACUAUAGAGAUUUGAAUAGGGCCAGCCUAAAAGAUAAUUUUCUUUUGCCCUAUAUUGACACUCUCAUGGACAACACCACUAAGCACUCUACAUUCUUUUUUUAUGGAUGAUUGUUAGGGUUUAUGGUUAGUGAAGAGCAAUUGAAGUUGAUCCAGAUAAGAUAUUCAUUAUCUAAAACUUAUCUCCCCUAUGCAUGCAAAAGAAAGUAAGGGCAUUUUUUAGGAAUGUUGAAUUAUAUUUCCCAUUUUAUUUCUCAACUUACUUCCAAAUGUGACCCAUUUUUCAAGUUGUUUCGAAAACAUGACCUCGACAAAUGAGAUGAGGAAUGUCAACAUGCCUUUGAAAAUAUUAAGGAGUACCUAUCAAAUCUAUCAGUUUUGGUACUGCUUGUUGUAAGAAAAUCAUUGAUUUUGCAUAUCACCAUUCAUGACCAUUCUAUGAGAUAUGUGUUGGGGUAACAAGAUGAAACAGGCAAGAAAGAGCAACUGUUUAUUAUUUGAGUAAAAAGUUCAUCGAAUAUGAGUCAAAGUAUUCCCAAUUGGAGAAAAUAUGCUGCACAUUGAUGUGGAUAGCCCACAGGUUUAGGUAAUAUAUGCUAUACCAUACUAGGUUGAUAGUAAGAUUAGACCUUUUCAAGCAUAUUUUUCAAAAACCUUAAUUGUCGGGGAGAUUAACAAAUGGCAAGUCAUGCUUUUUAAAUACGAUAUUGUAUAUGUUGCUUAAAAAACAAUAAAAAAAAGUGUGAUAGCUAAAUUCCUUGUAAAACGUACAAAUGAUUAGUAUGAGCUCAUGAAGUUUGACUUUGUUAUCGAACAUUUAAUGACCAUAUCCUAAGUUAAAAAAGGUGAACCAAUAGAAAAACCAUGGAAAAUGUUCUUUGAUGAGGCUUCGAAUGCUUUAAGGCAUCCGAUUAGAGCAAUUUUGAUAUCCUCUGAUGGAAAUUACUAUCAAAGCAUUGUGAGGUUGGAUUUAAAUUGCACUAAUAAUGUGACAAAAUAUGAAGCAUGUAUAAUGGGCUUGCAAAUGGCAACUAAGAACAAGAUUAGAGUGUUAAAAACAUACGGAGACUUGGCCUUGGUAAUUUAUUAUCUACAAGCUGAAUGUGAAACAAAAGAUUCAAAGUUGGUACAAUACCAAAAGUGUGUGCUAGAUUUGAUCAAAUAAUUCGAAAAAGAUCCAAUUCUAUCAUGUACCUCGAGAAGAUAAUCAAAUGGUUGAUGCUCUGGCUACAUUAGCUACAAUGUUUAAAAUGAGUGAUAAAUUGAAAAUCCAACCUAUCCAAUUGAAUGUGCAAAGAUCACCAGUAUAUUGCUCAAGUGUUGAAAAGGAGAUUGAUGGCCUAUCUUAGUAUUACGACAUCAUGCAAUAUGUCAAGCACCAACAAUACCUAGAACACGUAUCAAAAAAUGAAAAAUGAAUUAUCAAAAGACUGGCUAUAAGAUUUUUCCUCAAUGGAGAAAUCUUAUACAAGAGAAGUCGAAAUCAAAUGUUAUUGAGAUGCAUAAAUGCUAUUGAAGCAAAGAAGAUACUUAAAGAAAUGCAUGAAGAAAGUUGUGGAGCAUAUGCAAAUGGCCAUAUGAUGGUUAGACAAAUCAUUAGAAAGUAGACCAUUAUUGGUUAACAAUUGAAUGUGGCCAUAUUAACUAUGCUAAGAAGUGUCAUAAAUGUUAAAUUUAUGCAGAUGAGAUUCACGUUCCUCUGAUUUCUUUACAUGUUCUCGCACUUUUAUGGUUGUUCUCAAUGUGGGAAAUGAAUGUAAUUGGACCCAUCACUCUAAAAGUUUCAAAUAUACAUCGAUUCAUUUUUGUAGUAAUUAACUACUUCAUAAAAUGGGUCGAAGUAGCUUAUUAAUGUGACAAGGAUAGUGAUGUGUAAAUUUAUAAAAAAAGAGAUCAUAUGUCAUUGGCUUUUCAAAAAAGAUCAUCUCUAGUAAUGCUCACAAUUUGAAUAACAAAAUGUUAGCGAAAAUUUAUGCUCAGUUUAAGGUAAAGCACAUUAACCCGAUCCCAUAUCACUCAAAAAGAAUGGAACGGUAGAAACUAUCAAUAAAAAUAUCAAAUGGAUAAUAGAAAAAAUGACUGAUACUUAUAACGAUUGGCAUAAAAAAUUAUCUUUUGCACUGCAUGCUUAUAAGACACCGGUACACACAUCUACUGGGGUAACACUUUUUUUGCUCGUAUAUGGAAUGAAGGCCAUAUUGCCAAUUGAUAUGAAAAUUCCUUAUUUGAGAAGCCUGAUGGAAGCAGAUUUAGAAGAAGUGAAAUGUGUCUAAAAUCGUUACGAACAGUUGAAUCUCAUUAAAAAAAAAAAACUCACAACUUUUUGCCAUAGUCAGUUGUACCAAAAAAGAAUUAUACAAACACAUGACAAAAAAGUUCGAUUUAGGCAUUUCGAUGAAUGUGAAUUGGUUUUAAAGAAAAUUCUUUUGAAUCAACACCAUGAUCGAAGAAAAUCAAAUUAGGAAGGCCCAUAUGUAAUUAGAAAGGUUUUUUCGAAUAAAGUAUUACUGUUGGCAGAGAUGGAUAAAGAUAACUUGCCAAACUUGACAAAUUCAAAUAUUGUGAAAAAGUACUUUGCUUGAGAAAUAUUUGAAGAGGGUUAAAAAAUUAAAAAAUAAAUACAAAAAAAUAAAAAAUAAAAAACAAUAAACAAAAAAACCAACAACAAACAAAAAAAAAAUAAAAAUAAAAAGAAAAAGCUCUUUCUAUCUCUCUCGGAAGUAUCGUCUAGACAAAAUUAUUGUCUAUGUCUUUACAUUAUUCCUGAUUUUUAAAAAUAUGCAAAGAGGAACAACUGUAUACAUCAAAUUUUAUUCCAAAUAUUUUAACAUUGUUAACCUAAGCCCCUUUUUGAAUGCAAGUUUUAACCAUUAAUUUAGGCCUAUUAUGAAGUUCCUUUUGUAACCCAAAAGAUAGCUCGAUUGCAAGUCUAAUUCGUGGCCCAUUUGAAACCUAAUGGAUGCUCGUUUUAAGGGCCCAUUACAUGGCUGAUGUAUAGCUUGUUUUAAAGGCCCAUUUAGAGGUCCGUUAUAUAGAUCAAAAUAUUACCCAAAGCAUAAGCCCAAGAUAACAAAAAGAAAGGAAAAAAGGCAGCCCGAAACAGCAAAGGAAGGUUCAUAGUUUGGAAAAUCCAUUCGGAUGUCACGUGUAUGGGUUUAAAAACUUAUACCAUGGAGGCAGUCACCUCAAAACAUGCUGAAGCUGCAGCAAUAAACCUGCACAAAUCCAACCUAUAGGAGACAAAACAAAGAGUUAGUGGACAUUAGUAAGGAAAAAACGAAAAGAAAAAACUUAAGGAGGAAGGCUUUGGGUAUAGGCGAAAAGGAGAGCUUGGGGGUUUUCUGUUUUAUUAAGAAAAAGAGAAGAAAAGAAAAGAAACAACAAGGGGGAGAGAGGCUUUCAAAAAAUAUAUAUACAGCAAAAAAAAAAAAAGAAGGAAGAACCCUACAAAAGAAAAGAGAACCAUGCAAGAACAAAAGAAGACCGAGUUUGCUGAGAAUACAGAGGAAAGCUCCCUCUAUCAUCUCCACCUAUGCCUACUAGCUAAUUUCUUGCUGUGGAGGCCGCCGUUGCUAUUUUGGACAUACCACCGGUGGCACCAUUGUACUGUCAGGCUUAACCCCAUGGCCGAAAGAACCGAGUGAUGAAAUCUCGUUUUUGCUAAUUUUCUCUUUAUAAAUAGUAUCCAGCUAGUGAAAAAAGGGCAUGCCUUGGAAUCUUCAAGCCUUCUCUCCUAGCCUGUUCGAGAAAAUUGGUUUAUAGAACAAAAGAAGCUUGGACUGCUAACUAUAAGGUUUUCUUCUGGAAACUGUAAGUCAUGUAAGUUGAAAAAAAAAAUAUGUAUUUCAUGAGAAUGCCUGGCUGUCUUUUGAUGAGAUUCAUUGUUUGCCAUUUAUGCUUCUAGCAUUAUCAUUUGCAAGGUAGGCCUCAUUUACAAGAAAAUAGGAAUAAAUAAAUAUGACAACAUAUCGGGAAUAAAGAGAAUGAAAGCUGAAGGAUUAGGAACUUCAAAACUUGAAAACCCUGGAGAUUGUCGUGUAGAAUAGACCUUUUUCUUCUACAAUAUAGGUAGAAUAAAACAAUUGUUUUGCCAUGAUAGAUGGAUGUGAUGGUUUUUUGUCUUAAUUGGGAUAUUUCUUUUUCUAAUAAACUAAUAUCUUAAAAUUUGAUGCCAUAUAUUUAUUUGUUAAUAAACUUUAUUUUCAUACAUGCCACCAACAGUCAUGCAGAAUUUUUCUACAAAUUGCAAUUUAACUUUCAUGAUUGCUUCUCUACCGAUUGAGAUUUUAUACUUUAUAUAUAAAGAUUUAUAUACAUAUAAAGAUUCCUACGACUACGAGCUUCUCCUAUAAAGAUUUGGCAAAAGAAAGGAGGAGCAGAAAUCAGAAAGUAUUCAGAGGGGAAGAAUACACGGCCGUGAGUGUUAACAGAGAUAUACCUUUCCUCCAAAAACGAACAUUGUUCACCAAUACCUCACUACCGCACAACACGAAUCCCACCACAGUCCACUGCCUCGAUAAACCAUAUCUCCAUUUCUACCAGAGCAUCAUUGCAUCAGGAUCCUGUUGCCCUUGUUACUAUCCCAUUGCUAAAUCGAAAAGCAUCCCUAUAUCAACACCACGCUGCCACCGUCAGUCAGCCUAGAGCCACCAACGAUUUAGCCAAAACUCAAUCGAAACCAACCCAGCAGCCUAACAAAUAACCUCAGCUUUUCACUGUUACCCUCACCAUUACUAGACAAUUGAACCAUGCCAUUAAAGCCAAUAAUUCAUUCCCAAUAACUCGCAAACAGAAACCAAACCACAAUCCCAAAAAUCCAACAAGCAACUCGUGGGCCAAAGGAAAUAUGUCAAACUGUUCUACACCCCUGCAAUCACCAAUCACCGAUAACUUAGGCAGAGCUCUCACCACUAGAGCCUAGAAAACCCAAACCCAGAAAUUGAUCUACAACUCAAACACAGAGAGCAAGUAAACAGCAUAUCAAACAAAAAAAGAAAAGAAACUUUUUGCUGACUGUUGGAGGGUUUCGGAUAGAAGGAAAAUAGGGUUUCAUUUGGAUUUCGAGUUUAAGAGGUUUUUGGGCUCGAAAUUUAAGGGAAAGGGAGAUUCAAAGGUGAUGAGACAUAUAGUGGAAAAGGAAAACUUUUCAGUCACCGGAAUAAGGUGAAACCGAAGGUGAAGAGUCUCGAUUGUGGGAUAGGUCUGCGAAAAUUUAAAAGUAUCUUCAAAAUUCCAUUCCGUUAAAAAGAAUGAGGAGAUCCAACCGAUUUUAGAGAUGGUUUUCAAGUGGGCUAUGGUGCCAGUGGACGAUCGGUAGUGACGAUUGGCGACAGCCGACAGGCGAAGACCAACCGGAAUCAGGAUUGUGUGUGAAGUCGGUGGUUUCUGUUCAUCUGUGUUAUAUGAGAGGAGAGACCGAAAAUACAAGGGACUUGAAGUUGAGUUUUACAAAUUUACAAAAAACGGCCCUGUUUUGAGAGAGAAAGGAAAUAAAGAAACAGAGGGAAGACGGGCCGACCCAAUCACCAUAAGCCGACAAAUUGUUCGGCUAUUAAUUCAACCUGAUUCACAAGCCCAUUACAUAGUUUUGGUAGCCCAUCCUUUCUUUUGUGGGUUGAAAUUCAAGGCCUAAGGUACAUUUUAUUUAUCCUGUUACAUGUAUAUUUGUAUUUCUCUAGAUUAGAUAUAUGUUUAAUUAUUUUUAAUUAGUGUUAAUAUUGUGAAACAAAUCAAUUAAGUUAAAAUGAAAAUUUAAUUCUCUUUGUAUAAUCAUAUAUAUAUUUGUAUUACUUAGAAAAUUCAAAAAUGUAAAGUAAAUGGAAAUUAUUUCAACAAUGAAAAUCUAAAAAUAAAAAAUGAUUAAAAUUUUAGAAAUUCUUAAAUGAAGUUUUUUCCUUAAAUUUUCUAGAAUGGUGAAAUUUUUAAGUAAAAUUUGGAUAACAAAAAUAAUAAGAAUAAAAUAACCAAAUUGAGAAUUUUUUUAGAAAUAAUAAAAUAAAUUUUGGAAUCAAAACCUUGCAUGAAUCUAAUGAAGAAAUUUUAAAAAUCAUGAAUGUUUGAUUUUCUUAAAAAAUUUUGGUUGAAAAGUUUUAUCCUAAAUAUUUCUAGAAAAGUGAGAAAUUUAGAUAAAAAUUUCAAAUAUAGAAAUAAUUUUAAAAAAUUAAGAAUAAAAAUAACAAGAAUGUAUUUCUCACAAAUAAAUAAAAAUUAACCAGGUGAUGAAAUUCUUGGAGAUAAAAAAAUGGUUGAUUCUCUAAAAACUUCUAAAUGAGAAAUUUAUUUCUAAGUUUUGCCAAAUUGUGGUGAAAUUAUAUAAAAUUUCAAUAAUAAUAUUUUAAAGCAUAGUAAACAAUAAAAAUAGGAAUGAUAAAAAUAACCAAGAUACAUCCUAGAAAUAAAAAAAGGUAAAUUCUAUUCUAGGAAAUUAAGAAUGGUUGAUUUUUUAAAACAUUUUUAGGUGAAAAGAUAUUUUGAAAUAUUUCAUGAAUGGUGAAAAUUUAGAUAUAUUUUAAUAGAAUAAAGAAAUCAAAAUAAAAGUUAGAACAAAAGAAACUUAAAAUGAUUAAAUAAAAAAUAAAUUUAAUGAUGAAGCUUCUUCAAAUGAACAAAUGGUUUUUUCAAAUGAACAAAUGGCUUUUUCAAACUAUGUUGUAGCUCUAUCAUUUAGGAAAUUACAAAAAAAAAAAGAGCAAAAACAAGCAAGAUUUAAUAGAGAUAUGAUUAAAAAAUCAUAGGUAAGUCAAAGCAGACAAAUUUAAAAACAGUUUUGCAUGUUAACUCAAAUCAAUAGAUUUGAGUUAAAAAAUGAAUUCAAAUGAAAAUUUUAUUGAAAAUUAUGAAAGAAUACUGAAAAGCACCAAAAAUAGUAAAAUUGAAAUGAAAAUAAAGGGAAAAUAUUGGAAAUAAAGUGUUUGGAAGCUAAAAAUAAUGUUAAGUGUAGAAAAGUAAAAGAAAAAAAUUUUAAAUCCUAAACUAACUCUCUCCUUAUGGCCAACCCUCUCCCCUUAUUUAUUGGCAGAUGGGAAAAGAAGUCCAAAAAAAUUCUAGAAAAAUCUCCUAGCAGCUAGGCUCUUAAAGCCUUAUUCUUUUAAUGCGCAUGGUUGGUUGCGCAUUGGUCCCGCUCUUAGUGUUUAGUUGUUUCCUCAACAGGUUUGCAACUUGCUUUCACAUGUAAUGGGUGCUCCACAAAGUCAACAUAAUAACCAAUCACAACCUUUUAAAAUGCCACAUAAGCUCUUAGCUUGGGUGUUUUUAAACCUCGCAAUUUUGGUGCUUAACUCAACUCCCAUGCACAUGUCCAAUGCACCAUGUCCAAGAAUCUUGUAUCUUUCAAUUUUUUUCCAAAAAAAAAAAAUUUCAAACACAUUAUGAAUAUAUUUUAUCCUACAUUUUACUAAAAAAAAAAGGAGAAAAAUAAUACUAAAAAAUUAUGCUAAAAAAUCAAGAAAACUCCUUCAAUAUUAAUGUUGUAUAUUUGCACACUCAGUUAGUGCUAAUUCUGGCACAAAUAAAUGCAAAAAAAUUCCUCCAAAUUGUAUCAAGAAUGUCCAAAAUUCUUUAAUUCCAUUAUUUGUCCUUACACAUGAAAUAAUUGUGCAUUUAUGAGUAAUUUUACCUAAAAUCUUAAGGAAUAAGCUAAAAUAUAUGAAAAAUUGCACUGAAAAUAAGUACGAAAAUACUAAAAUUUUAGUGUAAUCAAUUUUGCAUAUCUAUGUUUUUAACAGGCUUCGAGACAUGUCUUAGCUUCACUUGCUUUUUAAAGUCAUCUAGGUUAGGAACCAUGAUAGAGUCAACAGGAUUAGACUUUGGGUUAAUAUGGAUAUGGGUUAAUUGUUGCCCAAUUGAAGGGCCUCCAUAAAUAAAUGGCUAUCUUUCUACUAGCUAUUGGUAUGCUGUAUGUGGUGGAGUGAAACCUGGUGGAUACAUAGGUUCCUUAGUAUUAAUUUUUUCAUGCGGCUUAAAUGCCCCAAUGACUCAUUUUCCUUUUGAUAUCCCCAACAAAAAUUAUCUUAGUUAUGACAUCUGCUUAUCCAUGCUUUCUUACAUACUGCCAUUCUUUCUCUAAUUUCUUAUUAGGCUUUAUUGACCCUUUCGAUCCUACUUAAUUGCUCAUUUUUCAUAUUUCUAGCCUGUGCUCAUGUAUUAUAUUUACGUAGGAUGGAUUGAGUCAGAUUCUUAGAUCAAGCUAUCCUUAAACUUUUAUUUAUUAAUUACUAUAAGUUAAAAUCUCAUGGUAUGCAAUCAAUGUCAUUUGUCGUAAAAGGGAUAUGUUAAGGUUUUUGAAUAUUUAGGUAGGAUUUUUAAAAGAUCUCUUUCGCCUUCAAGAUUUGAUGAAAAUAUAUUUACAGCCAUUAUUUAUUUUCUUAGGUUGGUUUAAAUAUGCAUACUAUGGAUCAUGGUAUAGAUGCACUAAGACAUGUUUAUGCGUGUAAUUGAAUUUUUUUUUGUCAUAAAAAAGCUUUCUUAAAAUCCUUUGAUAUCUAGGUAGGAUUUUUCAAAGAGCCACUUUUUGCCUCAAAGAUUUGAUGUAAGUAUAUUUACAACUAUCAUUUCUUUUCUUCGGCUAGUUUAAAAAUGAAACAAGUGCAUAUUGUGAAUGCAUGUAUUAAGGGGCAUACAUUUUUUAAGAAGUUUCAAAUGAAAGGAUCUUUCAUUGAUUCCAAAGUACUCAAAAUUACAUAUUAUCCAACAUUCUUGAAUUACAACCAUAAAAACAUUUAACUUGUUCAUAUUAUUCCUUGGUUUUAUUAAGUUGAUUAGAUGUUACCAAUAUUUGCCAAUUGGGGUGGCUUUUUACUAUAGGGCUUCUACUUUUGUCACCAUUUCCUUUGUUUUCUUUACUACCUUGCAAAUCUGAGUGGUCAAGUGAUCUAUGUACAUUUGCCUUCCAAAACUUUCUACCUUUCACUUCAUAUGGGCAUCCAUCUUUAUAUUGCAUGUAUACCUCCAAUUUGUUUUUUUCUUUUGUCAUGUAUUUCGUAGUGGAAUGAUGUGAUUCCUAUGUUUUUGCUGCUGUUGUUUUAGCCCCUUGAUUGGUUGGCGAAAUGUAUCUUUUUUCUUUUUUUGGAUUUCAAGGUAUUUUUUUUCUUUUUUCAACUUGGCCUUUAACCUCUCAUUCUCCUUUUGACUUUUUAACAAUCUUGUUGUGUUGGUUAAAAAUCGAUUUUCCCAAUUUUGCUGAUCUUGGGUGGCUUUUUUCUCGUUUUUCAUGACUUUGCUCCUCUAAAACUAUAUCAUUUCCCAAAGAGCAUUUGUAUCUUCUUAUGGUUUGCUAUCAUGUCUGAUCCUCCUAUCUUUCAACUAGCCUUUUAGCUAUUUAUUUUUUUUAUAUAGUUCCUUAAAGUUACUAUAGGUUACAUCCUAGUCUUUAUUGAUAUUUUCUAAUCGACUUUCUUGCAUGAGCGCCUCAUACUUUAGUUAUCCUAGUUUCUUUUGAGUUUAAGAUUUUCUUUCCUCAUUCUUUCUUUUUCUACCUCAAAAUCGAGUAAUAAGUUCGAUCUCUAUAGGUAGUGUUUUUGCCCAUGGGUCGAUCACUUGAAUAGAACCAUCAUCUGGAGGGAGCAUUAUAUCAUUAACCUGUUUUGCUCUCUAUACUGAGUAUCUUGGGAUCACAUCAUCAAUGCACCUUCCCAAAUCUAAUCCGUAUGUUGCUUUCAUGUUUUGGUAAUGUCACGCACUUUUCCCACAUAAUUAGCUUCAAAUUAUAGCUGGUUCAAACCAUGAGUUAUUGUGACAAAUUGCUUGGACUCAUAUUGCCUUCUAAUCAUGAGUGGCACAUAACUUGUGAGUUUCUAAAUUCCUAAUAGUGGAACACAUGGUUUGUUACCACAAUUAUACAAUAUAGAUGCAUGAGGCAUCUAAGGUGCUCUUUAUGUCACAUCUUCUUUUUUGAGAAUCCAAAAAAACACUAUUUAUUGCUUUUUAGUGAGGCUUCCCAACCAUUCAUUCUUGUAGAAUUUGACAAUAAGAACCAAAGAUUUUUUGUAAAGCUGAAGCGAACUUUGUCUUCGCCCUAGAAAUGGCUUUGCCAGAUAUAUAAUAGUUGCACACAUCCUAAAAAUUAUCUUUCCCCCUUUUUGCAAUAAUAGUUCAAUGAUCUAAUAGUUUCUAUUAAAAUAACCUGUGAAAGGUUAACUUGUUUAUCUAGUUGGGCAAAGAAAUCCACCAUUGAUGCCUCAACAUGCCCUAAUACUUAUGGAAAGAUCACCAAACCAUAGAUUGCCAAGGCAAAUAUGUCAAUAACCUAGUCUUCACUAGGGCUUUCAAAUAUGAUAUCGCGUAAGAAGGUCCACAGGAUGGCAUCACUGUUUUCUUUUUUCUUAUCAAUCACCAUAACAUCUAAACCUACUAUCUUAGCCAACUUUUUUCAAUACCUUGACUUUUUUUACUCCUUCAAAUAUAUUUUGUCUAGCUUAGGUAAUUUUAUACGUAGCAGAGUGGAAUAUUCUUCAAUGGCAAGUGUCAUACCUUUUUUAUUAAAAGUAAAGCAUUGAUACGAUACGUUCCAAAACCUUAUUAUAGCUUUAAUCAAUUUUUCAUUUACCUUCACUAGAAUGAGCAAUGCAAUAUCCUUAUACUUCUCAGCCCCCGUUGGCUCUAAAUACUACCUAACUCUAUCAAAUUGUUCUAUCACAAAUCCAAAAAGAGGUUACCUCAGAAAGAUUAGAUAAAUAUCUCUUUACCAAACAAUCAUUAUCCUUUCGUUGCCCCUUCUCGAACUGGUCUUGAACAUUUCCAUUUGUCUUGCUAAUUGCCAUUACUGGAUGUAAAUUUUUAGGUUUCAUGAUCACAAUGUUAAUUCUUUUUGUUGAAAACUAUCUAAAAGAUAAUACCUCUUAAUGUGAUCAUCUUAUAUCUUUAAUGAUAAAUGCAAAAAGAAAAGAAAAAAAUAAAAGAAAACAUAAAAAUCAAGAAGUUAGUAUAGACGAAUUGGUGUUAAAUAAGAAUUUAAGGUAGAAAAAGAAAUUAGUUUUAUUGUUUUCAAAUCGUCUGCCUCUUUUAUCAAAAAAUUUUUCAUAUACACUUGGGUUUUUAUUAGGUACCUUGAUACCUUUGGGGUGGGUGUCAUACCUAUUAUAGGUGUUUGAACAUUAUUAAACAUCACUUGCUCUAUGGUUUUUUUUAUUUUAAAAUGAGUGAAAGCUUAGGAGUGUUCCUUCAUGUGUCCUAUCUUUAGUAUAUUUUAUAAGGAAGGAUUCGACAUGGCUUUACCCUAGGUUGCUUCCUUAAGGUUCGCAAUAUGUCGGGUUAAGAUUCACACAUCUAAAUGUUCCUAAAUUAUUUCUGACAUCAUUGUCCAUUACAGACUAGUGAGACACCCCGAUCUUCAUCCAUUAUAAGCUAUAAACAGAAAAUGUUCAAUUUAAGUGGGAGUGUUUUGGUAGCCAUUGUGGAGGUAUUCACUUUAUGUGAGCAUAAGUACUUCACUCCCUUUUAAAAGGGUAAAAGCUCAGAUAUAGAGCUUAUGCAUACAAUGCACAUUAUGUGUGUGCGAAGGAACAAACAAACUUUUGAUACUUUUUUACCAAAAUUACCUUUAUCCUAAAUGCCACACAAUUUAUUAAGAAUAGUACAUAUAAAAAAAAAUAAAAACAUCAAAUAAAUGGCGCAAUUAAAACAUGAAUGUAAUGCAGAACACAUUUUUUUUAAGAAAAUCAAAAUCAAAUUUAAAUAUUAAGAUUAUUAAAUCAAAACUUUGGAUAACAUGUGUUCAAUUUUUAGCUUAUCUUUCUUAAAAAAAUAAAGUUCUUAGUGGAGCCAUCGAGCUGUUAUAAUGAUUUUGGAGAUCUCUAGAUGAAAAAUCUUAACCCGGCAUAUAGUGAACCUUAAGAAACCAACCUAGGAUCAAGCCAUAUUGAACCUUUCCUCAUAGAAUAUACCGAAGAUAGAACAUAACAAAGAACAUUCUAACCUUUCACUUGUUUUAAAAUAUGAGAACCAUAAAAUAGACAAUGUUUAAUAGCAUCCAAACACCUGUAAUAGGUAUGACACUUGACCCCAAAGGUAUCACGGUACCUGUAAAAGCCCAAGUAUAUAUGGAAAAUUUUCUAAUAAAAAGGGUGAAUGAUUUUAAAACAAUAAAACUAGUUUCUUUUUUAGUUUUAAAAUUCUAUUUGACUCCAAUUCAUCUAUGCUAAUUUCUUAAUUUUUGUUUUUUCUUUUCUAUUUUUUCCUUUCUUUUUGCAUGCAUCAUUAAGGAUAUAAUACAAUCACAUUGAGGGAUAUUCAUCUUUUAGACAAUUUUCAACAAAAAAGAACUAUUGUUGUUACCAUGAAACCUCAAAAUUUACAUCCAAUAUCGACCAUUAGGAAGACAUAUGGGGAGGUUUAAGAACAAUCCAAGAAUGGGCAAUAAAAGGAUGGGGAAUGUUUAGUAGAGGGAUAUGUAUAUUGGUUUUCCUAAUGUAGUCCAUUUGGAUUUACGACAGAACAAUUUGAUUGAGCUAGGUAGUAUUUAUAGCCAAUAGGGAAUAGAAAGGAAAAAGACUUUUAUCGAGAAGUAUGGGGACAUUGCAUUGCUCAUCCUAGUAAAAUAAAUGAAAAAAUUGAUCAAAGCUAUAAUACGGUUUUGAAACCCAUCAUACUAGUGCUUUACUUUUAAUAAUGAAAAUAUGACACCCACUAUUGAAGAAAAUUUCACUUUGAUGCAUAUAGAGUUACCCAGGUAGACAAAAUAUAUUGGAAAGAGCAAAAGAAGUUAGGGUAUCAAAAGAAUUUGGCUAAUAUAGUGGGUUUAGAUGUUGCGGUAGUUGAUAAAAAACAAAAGAAACAAUGAUGCCAUUCUAUAGAGCUUUUUAUAUGAUAUCAUACUUGAAAGCCCUAAUGAAUACUAGAUUAUUACAUAUUUGCCCUGACAAUCUAUGGUUUGGUGGUCUUUCCAAAAGCAUUGGGGCAUGUUGAGGCAUCAGUGGUGGAUUUAUUUACCCAACUAGAUAAACAAGUUAACCUUUCAUCGAUUACUUUAGCAUAAACUAUCAGAUCAUUGAAUUAUUAUUGCAAAAAUAAAGAAGAGUAAUUUUUAAGAUGUGUGCAGUUGUUAUAUAUUUGGUUCCAAAGACAUUUUUAGGGUGAAGACAAGGUUUCCCUUUAGUCAAACAAGAAAUCUCUAGUUCUUUUCAUUGAUUCUGCAAUAAUGAAUGGUUAGAAAGCAUCACUAAAGAGUAAUGGAUUGUGUUUUUUUGAAAUCUUGAAAAAGAAAAUGUGACAUGAAAAGUGCCUUUGAUGCCUCACGCAUUUAUAUUUUAUAGUUGUGGUGACAAACCAUGGGUUCCAUUGUUGAAUAUUUAGAGAGCCACGAGUUAUGCGUCGUUGAUGGUUAGAAGGCAAUAUAGGUCAAAGCAGUUUGUCCCUAAUGACUCAUGGUUUGAAUUAGUUAGAGUGUGAUUAUAAGGAAGCUAAUUAUAUAGGAAGAGUGCGUGACAUUGCCAAAGCAUAGGGGUGAACAUACCGGUCAGAUUUGGAAAGGUGCACUGAUGAUGUGACCUUAAGAUACUUAGUAUAGAGAGCAAAGCGGGUUAAUUAUAAGUACUCAUUCUAGAUGACAUUUUAUUCAAGCUUUUUACCCAUAGGUGAAGACAUCACUUACAGAGAUUGAACUUGCUAGACUUGAUUUUGAGGCAAAAAAAGAAAGAAUAAGGAAAAAAAUCUUGAACUCUAAGAAGAACUAGACAACUAAAGUAUGAGAUUCUAAUGCAAAAAAGUCGAUCGAAAAAGAUUAAUAAAGACUUGGAUGUGACCUAUGGUGACUUUAAAGAACUAUAUGAAGAAAAUAAAAGGUUAAAAGGCCAGUUAAAAGUUGAAGGGAUCUGACAGGAUAGCAGACCACAAGAAGAUACAAAUAAGCUUUGGGAAAUGAUAUAAUUUUAGAAGAGUAAAGUCAUGGAUAAUGAGAAAAAGGUCAUCUAUGACUAAUAAAAUUGGAAAAUUUGUUUUCAACCAACAUAGCAAGGUUGUUAGAAAGUCAGAAGAAGAAUAAGAGGUUGAACGCAGGGUUGAAAAAAGGAAAAAAAGAACAAAUUUAAAAUACAAGAAGAGAAUACACUUUGCUAAGCAGUCAAAGGGCUAAAACAAUAACAAUCACAUCACUGUGCUAUGGAAUGAAUAGAAAGAAAAAGAUGCAAACUGGAGGUAUAAAUACAAUUUAGAGAUGGAUGCUUGUGUGCAAUGAAAGCCAAAAAUUUUGAGAGGCAGAUGUAUAUAGAUCACUUGACCACUCAAAUCCGUAAGGUAGUAAGAAAGCAAAAGAAAUGGUGAAGAAACCAGAAGUUUUAAAAUAAGAAGCCACCUCAAUCAAUAGAUAUGGGCAAUGUUUGAUCAAUUUUUUGAAUGAAAUCAAGGAGCAGUACAAACAAGUUAAAUGUUUUUAUGGUUUAAUUCAAGAAUAUUGGAUGAUAUGUAAUUUUGAGUACUUGGGAAUCAAUGAAAGGUCUUUUAAUUUGAAACGUCUUAAAAAAUGGAUGCCCCUCAAUACAUACAUUCACAAUAUGCACUAGUUUCUUUUUUAAACCAACCUAAAAAAAAGAAUUAUGGCUAUAAACAUACUUUCAUCAAAUCUUUGAGCCAAAAAGUUGUCACUUAAAAAAUCCUAGCUAGAUAUCGAAAGAUCUUAAAGAAGCUUUUUUAUGGUAAAUAAUAAUUCAAUAUCACAUGCAUAAACAUGUGUCAGUGCAUUUAUACCACGCAUCCAUAAUACGCAUAUUUAAGGCAACCUAAGAAAAUAAAUGAUGGCUAUAAAUAUACUUUCAUCAAAUCUUGAAGGUAAAAUAAGAUCUUUUAAAAAUCUUACUUAAAUGUCGAAGGAUUUUAAGGAACCCCUUUUACGAUAAAUGACAUUGAUUUCAUACCAUGCGAUUUUGACUUGUAAUAAUUAAUAAAUAAAGGUUCAAAGAUAACUCGAUAUAAAAUCUGACUCAGUCUAUCCUACAUACAUAUAAUACAUGGGCAUAGGUUAGAAAUAUGAAAAACAAGAAGUUAAGCCAAAUUAAAAUGGUCGAAAAGGUCUAAAAAAAAAAUUAAGGAAAUAAUGGUAGUGAUGCAAGAAAGCAUGAAUAAGCAGUGUUAGAAUUGAAGAAAUUAUUGUUGGAGAUGUCACAAGGGAAAUGAGUUAGUACAUCUAAGCCACUGAAGAAAUUAAUCCUAAAAAACCCAUGUAUCCACAAGGCUUUACUCCACUAUGUGUAGCAUAUCAAUAGCUAAUAAAAGGACAUCCAUUUAUUUAUGAAGGCUCAUUAGUUAGCCAACAACCAGCCCACAUCCGUAUUAACCUAGGAUAUAGUCUUACUGACCCUAUCACGUUUCCUAACCUAGAUGAUGCUAAAGAGCAAAAGAAGCUAAGACCUGUGCUAGACCAUUAAAAACAUAGACUGUAAAACAAAUAUGAGUUACUCAAGGAACGAUUAAGGCCAGUUGAAGGAAACAAUAUUUUUACAAGUAUUGAUGCCAAUGAACUUAGCCUAGUACUUGACUUGAUUAUUUCAGCAAAGUUCAAAGUUCCUGACUUUGAGAGAUAUGAUGAAGCCAAGUGCCCUACUACCUAUAUUAUCAUGUUUUAUUGAAAAAUGACCAGGCAUACUUAUAAUGAUAAGCUCCUAAUCCAUUACUUUUAAAAUAGUUUAAUUGGAUUGGUAGCUAGGUGUAUAUGCAAUUGGAUUAGAGCUGAAUUUAUUCUUGGAAGGAUUUGAUUGUGGCUUUCAUCAUCUAUUACAAGCAUGUGGUCGACAUGCCCCCUGAUAGGUUGUCAUUCCAAAAUAUGAAAAAGUUCACAUAAACUUUUAAGGAGUACGCCUAUCAAUGGAGGGAUACGGUAGCUUAGGUAUAGCCAUCGUUGACUAAAAAAAGAUAAUAAUAUUGUUUGUUAGUACUCUAAAAGCAUCAUACUACAAGAAACUGAAAGGAAAUGCCAUACAUUUUUUUCAACAUGGUAAUUUUUGGUGAGAUGAUCGAAAACGUCAUCAAAAUCGACAAAAUUGAAGGGUAUGAUUCAUCUGCUGCUAAAAAGACAAUAGUCCUAAAAAAAAAAAGAGAAACUCAUAUGGUGACUUAUGAAGGCAUGCCAUUCAAACCAUUCACACCAUAUCAACCUUACCCAAUUUACCCACAUUAUUACUCUUCCAUAAACCAAGUGUGAAAGAGACCUUAUCCCUAUCAACCAUCUUAGCAAUCACCAUAUCAACCAAGUUUUUGUCCUCAAAUGCCUAAUUACAUCUUUGCUCUAGCAAUUCAGCCUUUUGCCUCACAAACUAGCUAAGCACAUAACUAGGAGAGUUCACGUAAUAAUCAAGAAAAGACUAGUUUGAUCUAAUCUCAAUAUCUUAUAUAAAUUUGUGCCCAUAGUUAUUGAAAGCUUAUAUGAUCACCUUUGUAUGUCUAGAGCUUCUAAAACCACCAUACCCUAAAUGGCAUAACUCCAAUACUUAAUGCGAUUACUAUUUUGAGAAUAUGUGACAUUUUAUUGAAAAUUGCAUGACCUUUAAAAACAAAGUGCAGAGUUUGAUAAAAAAUAAAGAGUUAAAAUUUGAUAUUAGAAACAAAUCAAGCGUCAGUAGGAACUUUUUUUAGAAUCAUGCCAAGAAAUGGGUAAAUGUUAUGGGUGAUGAACAAAAAGUAAGAAUUAAAAGAUGGGUAGACGAGGUAGAGACUUCAUUGGAGUGGGUAUUUGGCUAUUUGGUGAAAACAAAUAUGAUUCAGGUUGUAUAUCAAAAUGCUGAUAAAAUUCAUGCUCUUACUCAUGUUUGGAUGUAUCAUAAGAGGUGGUUGGAUACUCCAUUCAAGAAUGUGAAGCUUUUCAUAAAUUGUUGCAAAUUUUGAUAGAUGCGCAUAUGAUAGAAUUGUAUAUUAAGUUUAAAGAAAAUGUAAAUAUGAUAGCAGAAGACCUUUUGGUGGGGCUUUUAUCUUUAAGCUGUUAACUAUUUUUUAUAAUGUGAAGCCAAAGCCUAUGGUGACAAUACCUAUCUCUCCCUAGGGUGGCAUCGACAAUUUAUGUCCCCAACCCUUUCCCUUAUGAAAACAAUAAGGCAAUCCCUUAAAAAUAUGGCUAUGAUGUUGAAAUUUAAGAGCCCAAUACCAAUAUUAUUUCGGAUAACUCAAAUAGUGCUGUGAACAUAACUGACAUAGGAAGGAUGACUAGGAGUGAUUGGUGCUACACUCUAAAAAUGUUAGAAAAAGCCAAAAAAGGCAAAGGUAAAAUGGGAGAGGAAAAUGAAAAGGAAAGAAAAAUGGCUCAGCCAAUGGUAAGCUUGAAGGUACAAAUCAAGAAACCGAUGUAAAAAAAAAAAAAGCUUGUAAGUUUUUUAAGAUCAUCAAGCAUAGCUAAUAUGGUGUUGUUGACCAAUUGAAUAAGAUGCCAGCUUGCAUCUUUUUAUAAUUACUACUGUUGAAUUUUGAGCCAUACCGUAAUGCUUUGCUAAGGGUAUUGAAUGAGGCUUACAUGGAACAUAAUAUUUUAGUUAAAAUUUUAGAUCAUAUGAUAGGAAAUAUAAUAGCUACAAAUUCCACAUCACUGUUAAGUGUAAAAGCUAUACUGUAGCAAGGAUACUUAUUUAUAACGGGUUAUUAAUCAAUGUCAUGCCAAUGACCACACUAGCAAGGCUACUUGUUAACCUGUCCUAUAUUAAAAGUAGUCACAUUGUGGUAUGGGCUUUCGAUGGGUCAAGAAAAGAAGUAUUAGGGGACAUCGAGAUCCUAUUACAAAUAUGCCCUUCCACCUUCAAUAUAGAGUUCCAAGUCAUGAAUAUUUCUCUCUUUUACAACUACUUACUAGGCUAGUCUUAGAUUCACAAAACAGGUGUUGUACCAUUAUUUUUGCACCAAAAGUUGAAAUCAAUUAUUGACGGGAGGAAGUAAGUUUGAAAAGAUAGAAAGAGCUUUUAGUAACUAAGACCCUAACUACUCCUUAUGUUGAAACCACAAAAGAGGCACUAAAAUGUUCAUUCAGAGCUUUUGAAGUUAUUAAUGCUACUUAUGUGGGAGAAGGCCAAAAAAUACCAGUAUUGCAUUUGUUAAAAAUCAUAGAGAUGGUAGUUAAGCAAACAAUUGGAAGAGGGUGAUAAUCUAGAAAUAGCCUAGGUAGAAAUUUACAAGGAUUGAAAGAAGCAUUCAUUUUUGUUAAACAUAAGAAAAGGUUUGGCUUAGGUUAUAAACCUAUUAUUGUUGACAAAAGAAAGAUGUUGGAAAAAAGAGAAAAGUGAAUGGCGUGCCUUAAGAGGCAAGAGUCGAAUGGGAGUAAAAUGGAGUUCCUUUAUUUGUAUGAUACAUUUCACUUUAGUGAAUAUGUUUACCCUAGAUCGAUAGAGAUGAAGAAUAAGAACCCAACAAAAAGUUUAGAGGUAGCUUUUUUCAAAAUGUAGAUAAAAGGAAUGAAGAAAAGAAAAGAGAAAGAAAUAGAUGAAGAUGGUUUGGUUUAUCCUUUCGGCUACGAAUUCUAAAACUUAAUGGAAGAUGUAGCUUGUUUUGUUUUUGUUAUCCUUGAACCUAGCUAAUAUAAUAAAUGGGGUCCCCAUUUGCUUCUACCUAAAGGUAUGCAAGAAGUUUAUACUUUUUAUCAUCAUUUAUAAAGCGACAUAUGUGAUGCGAUCCUUAACAUUUUAUCCAUUUCCAUUUAUUUCUACAUUUUUUAACAUAAAUUAGUUUUGCAUUUUGCUUCCAUUAAUAUAUCUUCCUACACCUCUACAUUAUUAUCUGUUUUCAAGACUCUAAAUAAUGAACAUUAUGGAUGGUUCCAAUAAUAACUCUGGUUUGAUUUUGAAAAUUCCAUCCACAUCGAUAAGCUUGACAAUGAUGAGGAUUCAAAAGACUACGCUUUACCUCUUGAUCUUUUAAGAUUAAUGGAAUAAGGAAAAAGGUUGGUAGAACACACCAAGAAGUUAUAAACACGAUUAAUUUAAAGAUGAGGAAAAUAAAAAGGAAAUGAGAGUCAACACAUCAUUUCUACUCAUUGAAAAAGAAAAGUUGGAAGAUUUGCUUGGAAAAUAUAUGAAUAUAUUUGCAUGGUUAUAUCAAGACAUGACAGGGUUUAGUAUCAAUAUUGUCGAGCAUAGACUACUUUUAAAACCUGAAUGCAAGCCAAUGCAUCAGAAGUUAAAGCGAAUGAUUAAAAAUCAAAGAGAAAGUUAAGAAGCAAUUCAAUAUUGGCUUUUUAGAAUUGGUCAAGUACCGUAAAUGGGUAGCUAAUAUAGUCCCAGUCUUUAAAAAGAUGAAAAAAUGAGGAUGUGCAUAGAUUAUUGAGAUCUAAACUGAGCUAGCUCAGAAGAUAAUUUCUUGUUGCCUUAUAUUGAUACUUUCAUGAAAAAUACUGCCAAGCACUCGUGUUCUCAUUAAUGAAUAGUAUUUUCAACUAUAACCAUAUCAAAAUGGUGUGGGAAGACAUGAAAAAACUAUGUUCAUGAUAUUGUGAAGCAUAUUUUGCUUCAAAGUUAUGCAUUUUGGAUUAAAAAAAAUGCUAAUGUUACAUAUUAGAAGGCAAUGGUGAUUCUCUUCCAUGACAUGAUGCACAAAAAAAUAGUAGUAUAUGUCGAUUAUAUGAUAGCAAAAUCUUAUGAAAGAGAAUACCAUAUUGCCAACUUUACAAAAGCUUUUUGAAAGGUUACAAAAAUAUCAACUUAAGCUAAUUUUGGCAAAUUAUACAUUUGGGAUAAAGUUUAAAAAUAAUUGGGAUUCAUAUCAGUAAAACGAGAAUCAAAGUUGUCCAAACAAAAUCCACGAUAUUAAAAGCUUGUCCUCAUCGUAUGCAUAAAAGGUCAGAAGGUUCUUAGGGAGGCUAAAUUACAUUUUUUGUUUUAUUUCCCAACUUACCUCGAAAUGUGAUCUUAUCUUUAAGUUACUCUAGAAAAGUCAUCUAAGUGAAUGGAAUGAAGAGUAUCAAAGUGCACUCGAAAAGAUAAAAGAGUAUUUGUCCAAUCCACCAAUGUUGGUACCACCUGUAGGUAGAAAACCUCUAAUUUUAUACUUGACAAUUCACGAGAACUUCAUGGGAUGUGUGCUAGGAUAAAAUGAUGAAAAUGAAAAAAAAAAAAAGCAUGCUAUUUAUUAUAUGAGUAAGAAAUUUACUAAAUAUUAAACUAAGUACUCUCAGUUGAAAACAAAUAUACUGUGCAUUAGUGUGGGUUGCAUAUAGGCUCAGACAAUACAUACUCUAUUAUAUGACUUAGCUAGUAUCAAGAUUGGAUCCUCUCAAGUAUAUUUUUGAGAAACUGUUAUUAGAAAAGAUAAUGAGAUUGCAGGUGAUACUCUCAAAAUAUAACAUUGUAUAUGUAGCACAAAAGACCAUUAAAGAAAGCAUGAUAAUAGAAUUUCUUGCAAAUUGUGUUGUUGAUGAUUAUAAGCCCAUAGGGUUUGAGUUCUCAGAUGAAGACUUAAUGGUUGUAUUACAAGGUGAAGAGGAAUCUUCAGAAGAAGUAUGAAAAACGUUAUUUGAUAGUGCAUUUAACAUUAUGAGGCAUGGUAAUUAAGCAAUGCUGAUAUCUUCAGCUAGAGAUUAUUAUCCCUACACUAUCAGGUUGGGUUUCAAUUGCACAAACAAUGUGACAAAAUAUAAAGUUUGUGUUAUGGGUCUAUAGGUGGCAAUUGAAAGGUAAAUUAAGACACAGUGUAUGGUGAUUCAACAUUGGUUAUUUACUAGCUAUAGGAUGAAUGGAAGACAAAGGACCUAAAGUUGUCUUGUAACACAAGUACAUAGCUAAAUUAAUUAAGUUGAGAAGGUUCAAUUUUAGCACAUCCCUAGGAAGGAGAAUAAAAUCGCUAAUGUCUUGGCUAUGUUGGUUGCAAUGUUUAAAUUGAGUGCAAACAUAGAAAUUUAGCCUAUUAAAAAAUAGACAUAAGAGUUGCUAGCACAUUGCUUGAAUGUUGAAAAAGAAGUUGAUGGGCAGCCAUAGUAUUAUGAUAUCAUGCAGAACAUUAAAUACCAAAAAUACCUGAAGCACACUUCUAAGAAUAAUAAUAGAAUAAUCAAAAGAUUUGCAAUAUGAUUUAUUCUUGAUGGGAAAAUUUUGUAUAAAAGAAGUUGGAAUCAGAUUUUUUUAAAAUGUGUAGAUACCACUAAAGCUAAAAAAAUCAUUGAAGAAAUGCGUAAAAGAAUAUGCGAGGCACACAUAAAUAGACAUAUAAAGGCUAGACAAGUUAUGGGGGUAGGAUAUUGUUUGUCAACAUUGGAAAAUGACUAUACUAAUUAUGUUAGAAAAUGCCACAAGUGUCAGAUUUAUAUAGAUAAAAUUCACUAUCCUUUAAUUUCAUUACAUGUGCUAAUGUCACAGGCUGAGACUUAAGCUCCUAGAGUUGGCUCUGAUACCAUUUAUCAUGAGCUGAGAUUUAACCUUUAGGUUCAUACGGCUCUAAGACCCGAACAUGGACUUAUUUGGCAUCUUAGAUUAGCCUAACUAUCAUAGUUUACGCCUUUGUGAGGUAUUGUCUGCUUCGGCCCUUUUGGUUUCACGGUUUUGUCUCAAAAGGUGCCUCACAAGAAAAAGGUGAUGUGAACCUUUAUAUCCUUUGACCAACUCUAAUACACAACCGAUGUGAAAUUUGUGGCUCCUUUCUAAGACCAUGACACUAGUAAUUUCGUGGCUAUUUUUUAUGUAGAGAAUGGACGUGAUUGGACCUAUUGCUCCGAAGGCUUCAAAUGGGCAUCAUUUCAUCUUUAUGAUAAUUAAUUACAGUACGAAAUAGGUUGAAACAACUUUUAUGCCAACCUCACAAGAACAAUGGUGUGUAAGUUCAUUAAGAAGGAAAUAAUUUGUUGGUAUAGACUCCCAAAAAAGAUUAUCUUUGAUAAUGCCAAUAAUUUGAAUAACAAAAUGAAGAAGUCUGUUCACAAUUCAAGAUAAAACAUCACAAUUCGAUGUUUUAUCGACCCAAAAUGAAUGGUACAGUGGAAGCAACCAGUAAAAAUAUGAAAAAGAUAUUGGAAAAGAUGACUACACUUCAAAGAUUGACAAGAGAAAUUACCUCUUACUCUGUAUGCUUACAGAACAUCAAUUUACACUUUUAUUGGAACCAUCUCAUUUUCACUGGUAUACGAGAUGGAGGUUAUGCUACUUAUUGAGGUGGAAAUUCCUUCACUAAAAGUUUUAAUAGAAGUAAACUUGGAAGAAGCAAAAUGGGUUCGUAGUCACUUUAAAUAGUUAAAUCUCAUUGAGAAGAAAAGACUAGCAAAGUUCUCCCACAAUCAAAUGUAUCAAAAAAGAAUAAUGCAGGUGCAUGACAAAAAAAUGUGACCUAGGCACUUUCGUAAAGGUGAAUUGGUCGUAAAAAGAAUCCUACUAAACCAACAUGAUAGUAGAAGAAAAUGGACACCAAAUUGUAAAAGUCCAAACAUGGUGAAAAAGGUUUUUUUGGGUAGGGUAUUAAUUUUGACAAAAAUUGAUGGAGAUGAAUUACCAAAUUCGAUAAACUCCUAAU
rnacentral:lncRNA from 1 species